UUAUUCGCCUGCUGUUGCGGCAAAGCAUCAGGCGGUUACUAUCUCCUUAAUGAAAGGCUCUUCGUUUGGGCAAAUUUUUCCGCAUACACACUGGUCGUUAAAUGCUGAGCAACAUCCUCCUGGAUAAUUCUGAAGCUUGCAGUAUUGUUUACAAAGAUUCACGUCACAAUGUCGACCUUGAGGAUCCUCCACAAGAGGACGACUCGUAAUACGUGGACAAGCUGCUGUGCAACGACACGGACCAGAUAGUCCUGCGCAGCAUGCUGGCUUACCAAAAAGUGAGCAAUAUUUUCUACAAAGAUCCCAGUUACAUCGUUUAGCAUCCACCACAAGAGGACCGCUCAUAUCUGUUUAAAACAAGGAAAGAGUAUACACAAACACAGUUUAAUAUAUAAUACAGUCCAAAGUAAACAAAUACGAAUGCUUUGCUAGCUUGCUAUGAAAAUUAAAGUUGUUCUGAUUAUUUCAAAUUUGGUAAAUUAACAUGUAUAUAGUAUGUAACAAGCUAUGGAGUUGAAUAAAUUACGAACCAGUGGACUGGGAGACCAACAGCAGGAGGGACACUAUUGCAAAUGACCUCACAGAGAACUCCAUAAUUGAGAAAGAGAGAGAGAUAAUAGGAAGCUUUAGUGAAAUGUGAGUGAAAGACUCCCUGCUUAUAUCUCUUUAUAUAAUGUUUUAAGUGUGCUACCAAAAUUGUUAUAAAAUGUUGGAAAAAUGCUUGUUGUACAUCAUCAUAUUUACAUAAUUUUUUACAGAUUGAUGAUGAGUCAACAAGAAACUGUGGAAUUUUUAAAUUUUUUUUUUUAGUUGAAAGAUUUUGACCCAAUCAAAUCUCGUCGCAUCAUUUGUCUGUAAACAAAUAUGUAAGUUGCGAUAUAUCUAUAGCACAAACAUUUACGUAAAACACAACUUCUUUUAGUGGAGGGUUUGCACAAGAUGUUGACACGUGGACUUGUUGAGGCUUUUAAAUUUGCUUCUGGAUAACUUUGCAUGUGAGUUUCGAGAGAAACUGCUACAGUUUCUUGGUCUCCUUCUUCUUCCUGAAAACCUCACUCGAGAUUCCUAAUAUCCUGCUCCAUCUUUCUGAUUUUCGAUUUCUUACUUGGUGAAGAUGAAUAAGAACUGAGUGUUCUUUGAUUUGUUUUGUUCUAAAAGGGUACUGAUUAGGAUUUGUGGUGUUAUCAGGAAUAGUAAACUUUUUGGAUACUAAAAAAAUAAGUCUCCAUAACUUUAUCUUUUGUAAUUUGAACAUUUUGUAUCAUGAAUAUCAUUUUGAGACUGUUCUACUGUAGGGCAUUAUUCACUUCUGUGGAUGCUUAACAAGGUAAUAGAUAUUGAUGGAAAUCUAAGCAUGUUGAUACAAAGUGUAAGAUUAGGAGAAUGGAAUAAGGAGCGAUAUGCGUUAGAAAGAUGUGUUUUAAGGUGAAUAUGAAGUACUAUUUUAGUAUGGUGUUUUGUAUCAUACCACUUUAGAAAAAUAUAUAUAUAUUGAAAAUAUAUUUUGUAUAAAUAAUCUUUAAUCAUAAUUUUAUUGACAAUAAUUUUAUGUACAAAUACUUUUUUAAUCAGAAAUAAAAAAAAUUUUCACUUAUAAUUAAUUUUUGACUUCUAUGUCAUUAUUUUAUUAUAAGUAAUUGUAUUUUUGUACUUUGAAGUGAAUUUUUUUACUUUUAUCCAAAGACUUUAUCUAUAAGUGAAUUAUUUUUCUCAUCGUAGAUUUUACUUGUUAACGUAAUUAUGCAUAAAUUUUUACUUAUUAGUAAAGUUUUACUGACUACAAAUUAUUUAACAUAAAAGUGGGUGUUUUACAAAAAGGUUAAUUUUUUACUUACGACUGAAUAAUUUUUUAGUUAAUUUUUACUUGUAUAAAAGGUCUUUUCAUGCCAUUGUAUGAUUGAGACAGAUGUAAAAUUUCCAACCACGUGUUAUACAAAUUUUAGAUUAAAUAUUAAGAAUAAAAAUGGUCAUCAUGUCUUUUGUCCAAAUCGAAACACAAAAAUAACGUGAACUAAAUUUAGUAACUAACGAGUAGAUACAAUAGUUUGAAAGGUCUUUUUCAUAUCAUUGCAUAAUUGCGACAAUGUAAAAAUUUUCUAAGCACAUUUUUAUAUCAAAGAGUAUUCUAUAUUAUUUAAAUCGAAUUCGAUAUUUUCUAGAAUUAUUUAUAGUAAUUGCUCCUCCAUAAUUUUUUUCCAAAUCUAAACACGACAUUACGAGUGUACCAAAAUUUUAAUAGGUGAAAUUUGAAGGAUCUAAAUGGGUUGCUCAAAAAGUCAAAGGACUGAAUUGAAGAUGUUGAAAACUUUGAGGACCAGGGAUGAAAAUACCUUGCGAAUGGUGGGUAGGAGGAGUGAAUGUUUCAUAGAACCUGUCAUGUCAUGCCUUGCUGCCCAAUUUCCUAGUGCGAGUUGGAAACAUAAUUUUUAAGGUCUGCGGGUAUUCCAAUCACAUUUUUUUUUCUUUUGCACAUUUUAAAACUUAUUUAAAUAGGACUUCGUAAUAGAUUGGAUGGAUGUAUUCAACUUUUUUCAUCUCCCUAUCAUUAAAACUUUAUAUUUUUAUUAUUGAUUGUGUCCACCUUAACACAGCUAUCUGCAUCAUGUCAAUUCAAAGUUGCUCAUUUUUUGUUAAAUUCUUGUUAUUUCUGUGGUUUGGUUAUUAUUUUAUUUUGAUGAUUGUUCAACAAUAAAACGUGUUUGUGAUUUAUAUUGUUUUCUAGAGGUUUGAUAUAAAUUAGCUCAUGGUAAUAAGCAACAUAGGGUAUGCUAGUUGAUAGAAAAAUCAGCACAUCCUCUGAAAUCGAAUGAGAUGAUCUUUGUGAAUAAUGAAUGCUUAUGUGUUCAAAAUUUAACUAAAAUUAAAUAGGUUCACAUAUGAGCUUGGAAUUGAUUGACCUUGAUAGAGGCUUUUUGAUUAAAACUGGAUCAUUGAUUUUCAAUUUAGGCAAGAAUCAGCAAUUGAAUGGUAAUUAAGAAGUGAAUUAGGAUUUGAACGGUAGAUUGUUGAUCUUGGGCUUUGCUUGGUAAUUUUACACUAAGAUCUUAAUAUGUGUUGGGCUUUUGAUACCCAAUAAAUCCCGGACUAUGAUGUUAACGAGGGUUCAUAUUAUUUCAUAGGCAUAGGUCGAUGAAUGAAAUAAGUCCAACAACCAAGUCUAUGAGUUACACUCGGCCCAAUUAUAUUUCCUCUUGGAUGACUUGAAUCUUGGACCGUUUACCUUUUUAAAGGUCCAACUUAAAGCCUAACCCUAGAGUAUAUAUAUGACUACAACCCUAGCCACUUUCUUGUGUUGCCCCCUUUGUGUGUGAAAAAACGCUUCUAGAAAUGUCCAAAACGCUUGUUUAACGUGUGCAAUUGGUGGUUCCUUCAUAGUAUAUUUUUAUGGUGUCUUCUCCUAACCUUUGUGGCCACAAAUCAUCAUCUUUUUUUGUCCUAUGUGGGUAAGAUUGAAUAGAAACCGAGGAGAAUUAAUUGGUUGUGGUUUGGAGCUGAUUGGACUGAUUGUUGGUUGAGAAAUGUGCGUUGGAUUAAGCCCGGAAAUCACCGAUUUGAAAAUCUUUCAAGAGAGUUUCCGCAACAUUUGGUAUCAGAGUUUCAAAGUGGUGGUUUUGGCUCUUGAAAUUUAGCAAAAAAAAUCGUCCAAAAAUUGGUAGAAUCAAACAAGAAAUUAGAUCGAAAAAACUGUCAAAAUUAGUUUCCAUUUUUUGCAUUUUUUGUUCAAUUCAGAAGGAGUUUUGGGAAACAGAGAUCAUUGGCAUAACGUGCAGGUAGAGUAGAACCCUACAGGGUGGCGCGUGUCAGAGAUGGUAGGGCGUGGCAUCAGCGCGUGAAGACCACGUGCAGAGAGAGUGAUGGCGCAUGCGGCACGUGGAGCAUUUUUUGGCGACGGUCUCUUCAGGCAGUUUGUUCCUUAUAUUAUUUUUGACAUUUUUUGUGUUGAAAUUUUUUGUUUCAGGACCUGUAGAAAAAUCUGGACAGUGUUGUUCUUCAGGCAUUCGGGACUGGAUCGUGAUUUUUUGGUUGCUGCAGUUUCUAGAGAUUUUAGGAUGAAUAGUGGUGGUCCUAUAGUGAUAAAUUCGCAACUCUCGUAAUUUACGGACUCGAGCAGGUCCGCUCUGGUAUAUUGGCUUAACUUAGUUUAAAUUUCAACAUUAGCAAAUUAUCGUGUGGGGUGAUCGUUAGGAUUGGGGAUUGUCAUUGCUUGACAAUCAUUGCUUGUGCUAGAAAAUUUAGGAAUUAUUUGCUCUAUUUUUGAAGUGUUGAGCUUUGAUUACAUGUUGGUAGUUGAUUUUGUGCUUAUCUAUCAUAUAAUCACUGUGUGAGACUUGUUGCGUGAAAAUUUGAAUUUUAUGUUUAUACACCUUCGUGCUUGCAUUAAUUAUCCCAUUAGAACUUCAAACAUUCCCUUGAUCUAAGAUCGGAAUCUUAUGAAACCCUGAGAAUCUAGAACGAUGUAUGUUGUGACUUUAGGAUUACUUUGUGUGAUCUAUUUGUGACUUGGUUGUUCUGUUUUUUUAUUUUCUCCUUAAAAAUGUCUUCAUACUUUGAAGUUGAAAUUUUUAAUGGGAAAUGAGAUUUUUCAAUUUGGCAACUAAAGAUAAAAAGUACUUUGGUUCAACAAAAAGUUUCAAAGGCCAUAGAUGGGAAAUUUCCUGGAAAUUUAACGGAAGCACAAAAAGAAGAGUAUGAUAAACUUGCAUACACUUCAAUUAUUUUACACCUGUCCAAGACUGUUUUGAGAAAAGUAGGAAAACUGGAUUCUACAAAACAACUUUGGGAAAAGUUGGAGGACUUAUAUUUGCUUAAGUCUACUCCAAAUAAACUGUACAUGCUUGAAUGAUUUUUCAGCUUUAAAAUGGAUCCUUCAAAGGAUCUUGAUGACAAUCUAGAUGUCUUUAACAAGUUAGUUCAAGACAUCGUUAAUUGUGAUGAAAAGAUAUCUGAAACGUAUAAGGCUAUUAUCCUAUUUAAUUCCAUGUCUGAUUCAUAUAGUUAAGAAUGCAAUUAAGUACGGUAGGGACACCUUAACACUUGAGAUUGUCAUAAACUCGCUUAGGAGUAAGGAGAUGGAUAUUAAGUCUGAAAAAGAGGAUAAGAUGAAUGGUGAGUUACAUAUUAUGAGGAGUAGGAUGAAGUUUAAGCAAAUUAAUUUAGGUAGAGCUCAAAAUAGUGAUGAUUUGAGUAGUGAGUCGAGUGAUGAAGGUGGUAAGAUGAAGGGCAAGGGACAGGACAAAUCUAUUGGUAGAAGGUGUUACAGCUGUAGUAAGUCUAGACACUUUAUUAGGGAUUGUCCCAAAAAGAAGGAUAAAUUGAAGGGUAAGAUGAGAGGUGAGAUGAAUUUGGUUGAGGGGUCGAGUUAUGACCCUAGUGAGAUUUAUUGAGAGUAGACCUAGUUACUGUAUAUGCAUCUGUGUGUGAUCAUUUCUGUAUAUGUGUGAUUGUCUAAAUUUUGUUGCAUGAUUAUCUGCUACAUUUCAAUGUGUUUUAUAUGUGCAUUUGCAUGAAUUUGAGACAAUAUGAUUACUUGGUGUAAUUGUUUGAAUGCAUAGUGGGUUAUGAUGCAUUAGCAGUGUGUUAAAUUUUUUUUGGUAUGGUAGAGUGUAGAUGUCUAGCGGUACAUUGUGGUUUGUACCGGGGAUGUAGAGUGUGACAUUUGGAUCACGAGUGGAGAUGUGAUCAAAUGUCUAGGAUCAUUUAUCUGUAAAGAGACCCUAAUCAGGUAGAGUGUGAGAGAGACACUUCUAUCACUUUUGUUAGGUGGAGACCUAUUAUCCACGUAGGUUGGGAGAAGUGAUGUAGAGAUAGAGAAUUAUCUCAUGGACUUAGGAUCUAUUGUGACUUGCUGAUUUGACAUGAGUUGAGUGAUCUGUUUAGUGAGCAUGUUGGGCAAUGAGAGGAGAUAUGUGUUCUCGAGGUGUGAGUAAUACGGAAUGGGAUAGGAUAAGUGUGAUGAGAUCUUUUCGUAGGGUCAUUUAUGCAUGUAUUGCAUAUGUGGUUGACCGUGGUUUGAUUGACUUGGUGUUAAUCUAUGGUUCUAUGUAAACGUGUUUCUGAAAAGAUCUAUGUAUGUUAUCUUAUAGUAUAUCAUUAUCACAUGUGUAUUUGCUUUUGAUUGUUUAUUGUUAAAUAUUUGCUUCUACUUGGGGUUUUUUUACCUUAGCCCCAUCGAGUACAUGGAGCAGGUAUGAUAUGUGUUUCAAGUUAGAAACAUGAGGUAAGGUUUGUGAUCCAAUUUUAUUGGCUACCUUGAUUAUGCGAGUGCUAAUUGUGUGUUUUGAUUGCUUAUAAAUUUAUUAGGCAUCAAGGUGGAGAUUUAUUGGGUUUUUGAUACCCAAUAAAUCCAGGACUAUGAUGUUAACGUGGGUUAAUAUUAUUUCAUAGGUAUAGGCCGAUGUAUGAAAUAAGUUCAACAACCAAGUCCAUGAAUUACACUCGGCCCAAUUAUAUGUCCUCUUAGAUGACUUGAAUCUUGGCCCGUUUACCUCUUUAAAGAUCCAAUUUAAAGCCUAACACUAUAGUAUAUAUAUGGCUAUAACCCUAGCCACUUUUUUGUGAUGUUUUGUGUGGUUUUGAGAGAAAAAUAUAAGAAUCCCGGCUGUCCCCUUUGUGUGUGAAAAAAGGCCUCUAGAAGUGUCCAAAACGCUUAUUUAAUGUGUGCAAUUGGUGGUUCCUUCAUAAUAUAUGUUUGUGAUGUCUUCUCCUAGCUUUUGUGGCCACAAAUCAUCAUCUUUUCUUGUUCUAUAUGGGUAAGAUUGAAUAGCAAUUGAGGAUAAUUAAUUGGUUGUGGUUUGAAGCCAAUUGGACUGAUUGUUGAUUGAGAAAUGUGCGUUGGAAUGAGCCCAAAAAUUACUGAUUUGAAGAUCUUUCAAGAGAGUUUCCGCAACAAUAUACUCUCAAAUCACGAAGUUAAGCUGUUAUUUCAGGGAAAAAUUUUCAUAACCUAAAAUAUUAAUCGUGUGUUUUUUUAAAUUUAGUUUUAAUUAAAGUAGAGUCUAUAAUUAAUCUUCAUGGGACUAGACUUGACUUAUCAUUAUAUUACUUGUGUACGAUCCAUCAUCUUUUAGGAUAUAUAUUGCAACACUUGAUGAUACCUCUUAAUGUAAGAGUUUAGUUUUCAUGUUGUUGUUUGUCUAUCAUGAUGAUGUGGAUUGAUUUUUCAAAUUGCAAAUUCUUCUAAAUUAUAAUGACGAGCCAACUAUAUAUAGGGGACAUCCGAAACUUAAUAGUAGAGUUAUGGUUGAAGUAGAAUUCAAGAAAUAACAUUAAAAAUGGAAUAGGAAACAAAACAGGGCCUACUCACUGUCUAUGUACUGGGAUACUGACUCCGUGUUUCAAUAUAAAGUUGUAGGCCUCUAGGCUCCUCGUCUCCAUUCCCAACAACUUUUUAAGAUGUUUUCUUCAUUCCAAAGUCCUCUUCAAGAAAAACACAAAUUUCAACUCUCGAUUAGAUUUCUAAAUAGAACUUUAACUAAAAUUCGUCAAAUUGACUUCGAAUAGGAUUCCCAAAACAAUUCCAAAUAGAAUUUCUCUUAACGUGCAUUUUAAUUAAAAUUGUAAUUAUUUUCAAUGAAAAAUUCUAGUCAUAUCCAAAUUCCAACAAUCUCUAUCUUGACACGAAUUUCAUCACAAUGAGUAAUCUUUAAAAAAUCUCCACUUGAAUACAAAUUCCACUACAAGGAUUAAACUUAAACUCUUUAAAAAAAAAUGGCAUUUUCCAUAAAAAAGUUUCCAACUGGAAAUAUUCUCCAUCUCUGCUAUCCCAACUAAACGAAUUCUAAUGAUCUCCAAACAGGAUUGAAAUAAAACCCUAUAAUAGAAUUACAACUAAAUGCAUUAAAAGAAUGAUCUUGGCUAGAAUCAAUAUCUUUAACAGCAUUCAAACAAUAAACUAAGUCAGCAGAAUUUUACCUAUGUGGAGUCUUAAGGCGUCAACUGAAUAUAAUGACACCACAGACAAUAGUUGUAAGAUGAAUUUACAAUUAAUUUCUAAAUUCAAUUGAGAUGUAUUCUUUAAAGAAGAUACCAUAUUAGAGCCUAACGGUAAUGAAUCCUACUCCAAAUCCACUUGAGUUCUUAAAAUAUGUUGUAUAACACUACAAGAUAUAUAAAUGGGACUUUCUAUGUCCCUUUAACAAAGCAUGGGCUCCUUUACUAACUUUUAGGACUCCACCUUCAACAAUGCACCUGUACUCCUAUUGAAUCAAGAGUGCUUAAGGAGAUAACAUUUCUCUUUAGGUCUGGAACGUGUCUUACUGCAUCAAGUGUUCUAACGAUCCCAUCGAACAACGCUAUUCUAAUCAAUCAAUAUCAACUACCUAACAACGUGUAUUAUUACUAAUCAUCACAAUACCUUUUGAAAUUACUUCAUAUGUUGAAAAUAAAUCCUAAAUGGGACACAUAUAUAAUCGGUAUCAAGAAUUUAAGUCUCGUCAAGUUUGGAGUUGUAAUUAAAUACAAGUAAAAGCUCUCAGCACUCUUAGAAUUUUCUAAAAGAUUUACUUCCCCUUAAGUUUUUGAUUAUUGAUUUGUAGUCAAUUUUACUUUAUUCUGCGAUUUAUAACAAUCGUUUAUCUAGAGCCCAUUUUUCUUGCAGUAAUUACAAAUUUGUAAGAUUUUGACUUGCCCCUUGCAUGAUUACUUUCAAUAAUGAAGCCAUCUCCAUAAACCUCAGAUGAAAUAAGAUGCUUUAUCUUCUUCUUUGAAUAUAGAGUAUCAUAUACUUCUUCGAUGGUGAAAUUUUACGACUAUAUAAAAUCGUAUCUUUAAAAGACAUGUAUGAAGUAGGCAAAUGAACACAAUAAAAUCAAUCAAAAAUCUUCUUAAUCAUAUUUGACCUCAAGGUCUCCAAAUUAGUGAAGAUUUCCUUAAAAAUGACAAAGUGAUCCUUAAGAGAUGAAACUUCUCUCAUAUUAUGAGAAUAUAGACAUUAUUUUUUAUGUAAUUUGCUAGUAAGUCUCUUAAAAAUGUAUACUUGCUCAAAUUUUAACCAAAAUGCAAUGGCUAACUUCUUCUUCAAAACAUUUUGAAGAAUAUUAUUUGAGAGAUAAAUAUAUAAUUUAGAUAGGGCCUUUUGAUCCCUCCACUGUUUUACCUUCAGAGUUGAAGUUGUGGGCAUCUUAUCAAAUCCCAGUAAUGCAUCGUCCAAAUCCAUCUGAGCAAGUACCGCUCACAUCUUUACAUGCCACAAAGAGAAUUUUAUAUUGCAAUCUAAUAGCAUAAUAUCAUACUUCACAGUUGCCAUCACAAAAAGAUCAGGUUGAGCUAUUAACAUGAUCAAAACCUUGAUCUUCCCAAAAAUUUGAAUACCAAGAGCUUUGUACCAAUUUUUUAUAUAGAAAAUUGAAAUUGGAUUAAUCCAAUACCAAUUUGUUGGAGAAAAUACAAGAUUAUAGGCACAACAUGAAAUAAAAUAACACCAUAACAAUGUAACUUGGAGAGAAUGAAGAUUUUAUUAUAAUAUGAAGAAAGAAUACAAAGAAGGAUGAGUCAAAGUUCUAUCAUUAGUAUUUUAAAUUUUUAAGGACCAUAAGUUUCGGUCACUACAAAGUAAAUUUUCAAAUUGUUGCACAAUAAUUCCAAUGUAAAUUAUGUUGCUUGUUCAACUAUUUUGACAAUGUGUAAGUUGACAGGGAUCCUAAUCAUUUAUUUGAAAAAUUAAUUUUCAAAUUAAUGAUCAAGAUCUUUACACCCCACACUGUCACACUAGUCACACAAAUUCAUUAUACAACUAGCUUAAUUUAUCAUUUUGAGUAAUGUUAGUUCAUAGUUGUAAAUAACAAGAUAUAUUAAUAGAGAUAUUUUAAAAAAAUUAAAACAUUAAUUAUACUUUCAACAAGGAAAGAGACCUAUAAUUUGGGAUUGUUAUUUAGAAAAAUGGAACCAGAUUAAUCCAAUACCAAUUUGUGGGAGAAACUAUGAGAUUAUAAACAGAAUAUGAAGGAACAUGAUGAAAAGUUUAGAUGUAGCCCAUUUAUUUUGACUCAAUGAGUAGAAUCAUACAAUUAAAAUGUGACGUGUGAAACCCUAAUUUGCUUUUUCAAGAGUUUUAUCCGACCAAUGAUACGUAAUUGCCUUUUACUAUAUAUACCAAACCCUAAACACGAAAUUUAGGUGAUUGAUCUUACUAUUUAUUCAUAACAUCCUUUUGAGAGAAAAAUAAUGGCUCUUCAUCUUUUACAUCCUGAGAUUCAUCAACCACAAUUUGGAAAAAAAUCAAGAUCACAUAAUCCAAAACACCCAUUACUUAUACACAUAUAGAAAGGUAUUUUUUCAAUAGCUUUCAGAGGUUGCUGAAAACUGAGAGAAGUUGGACCAAAAGCACAGGAAGAGUACAAGAACAAGGAAUCCUUGGUGAUCCACAAGAGAUAAACAAUUCUAGAAGAUCGAGAACAGGUGUGAGUGAAGCACUUUUUAACAGGUCUUAGAAAUUGCAGAAAGUAGAUCAAUGAGUCAAGUAAAAAUUUCUAGACUAGAUCGUACUAUAAGUUCAUUAUUAUCCAUAGUUUAGGUUAUUGAUUUGGUUUUGAAGUUUUAUCUACUUGAGUUUUCUUUGUCAACAUAUUUUGUGUUGUUUAUUGCUUUCAUAUCGUUGAUUGUGGCAUUCAAACCAUAUGAUAAUCUGACAUGAUUGAUUAACCAUCUAAAAAUAAUUAAAAAGUGAUUUAUUGCUUUUAAUUGUAUAAUUCCACACUUUGGGUCAAAAUAAAUUAGCUAAUUCUAAACUUUCACAUGAGAACAAUGAAUAGAUAAUGGAGAAAGAAUACUAAGAUUUUGUAUUUAAAAUGUUUUAACUCCUCCAUUAAUUAUAUUGAUGAGCUAACUAUACAUAGGGAACAAAUUAGAAAUUUCAAAACCAAAUAGUAGAGUUACACUAUUGCCGGCACCCUGGUGCCCAAUGCCGACUCCUUGUUUCGAUAUAAUGUUAUUAGGGCCUAGGCACCCCGUCUCCAUCCCAAACACUUUUCUUCAUUCCAAUGUCCUCUUUGUUAAAAGUUCUAGAGUAAUUUGUAAUCUUCAUCUAGUCGAAAUCCAAAUUGGAAACUUCAACAACAAAAGAAGAUUGAAAGAGUUCAAAUCCAAAUUGAGUACUUCAACCAACAAAGGCUUUAUUCAUCGAAUGGUCAAAGGAUAAAAUUUUCAAUUCAAGUUGUAUACUCAACUUGUACAAGCUAGAAAUUAACAUAGACAGCAAUCAAUUCACAUUCUAUUCAGCAAUCUGGAAAUUAGGCAGCAGCCAUUUGACACUUAUGAUGUUCAAACACAGCUGCAAAUACAUAUAUUCCAGCUAUAAAUGAUGAAGAAAAAAUAGCUUUUACCUAGUUGUAAUUAUAGAGAAUUAGUAAUACUACUUUAUUCAAUGUUUUUUUAUAAAUAGGAAGGUAUCCAUCUAGUGUUAUGUAUGUAGAAGAAGUGAGAAAAAUCUCUCAAAAAAAUAAAGAAAGAGUGUGUUGUAGCAACGUCAUUUGUGAUUCCUUAAAUUUCAUAAGAAAAAUUUCAUAUUUCUCUUAUCUAUUUCCUUCUACACCCAACACUCUUAAAGUCUAUCACAAAUUCCAAUUUCCAAUUGGACUUCCUAAUAGAAUUUCAACUAGAAUUCGCCAAAUAAAUUUCAAAUAGGAUUCCAAAUAAUCAUUCUAAAUAGAAUUUUUCUUAACCUGCACUUUGAUUAGAGUUCUCAAUUAUCUUCAAAAAAGAAUUCCGGUCAAACUCAAAUUCUAACAAGACAAACAAAAAAGGAAAGUAAAACUAUAUUUGUGGGACGGACAAAGAUUAUAUUUCAUUUAAUUUUGACUAAAUUUAAAAUAAGACAAUUUUAAUGUGUCCGAGACAAAAAUCUUAGGGCCAUGGGACCAUUAAUCAAUUUCCCUUGGAGCUUACUUUGAAUAAUUAAUAAUUUUACAUACGUAAGUACACAGCUAAGUCAUUGAAAUAAAAUCUAAGUAUGCAAUUAUGAAACUUUUCCUCCAAUUAUGUUACUGAACUUCUGUAUAUUCGCCUAUAUUUUGAUAGACUAAUCCAAAGUUUAUGUCGCACUCAAGCCGGAGAAAAAUUACAUGCUUGCAGCAAAUCCAUUUUAUGAUAUGAGUAAUAAAUUGAAAUUUAAAAAAAAAAGUUAGUAAUAAUUGAAUUUCUAUAAAUAUAUACUCGACAACCUCUAGUACCUUUUACCUUUAAUGUAUAGAAAAACUUAAAUAAAAAUAAAAAAUAAAAAAUAAACUAAAACUAAAACACAAAAUGAACAAGGCUUGUUAACUACCAAAUGGAAAAUUUAUGCUCUUAGUCGUACUUUUGAGUACAUAAUAUAGCCCAAAAAAAAUUUGCAUAUAAUGUUUUGAGACUAAUAUCAUAUAGCUAGAAGAAUUAGAUGAAAAUAAUGAUAUCUUCCAUUCUUGCAUUACUAGGUCUUUAAAUUGAAUUAAAAAAUUGAAAUUAAAAAAAAAGAGUAAUAAUUGAAUUUCUGUAAAUAUAUACUCGACGACCUCCAGUACCUUUUACCUUUAAUGUAUAGAAAAACUUAAAUAAAAUAAAAAUGAAAAUAAUAAAAAAAACUAAAACUAAAACACAAAAUGAACAAGGCUUGUUAACUGCCAAAUGGAAAGUUUAUGCUCUUAGUCGUACUUUUGAGUACAUAAUAUAGCCAAAAAAAAAUUGUAUAUAAUGUUUUGAGACUAAUAUCAUAUAGCUGGAAGAAAUUAGACGAAAAUAAUGAUAUCUUGCAUUACUAGGUUUUAUUUUCAUGAAAAUGUCAUAACAUUGCUAAAAUCGCUUUCCUCUUUAACCAUCUUUGUCCCUGCCACUGAUCAACCUAAGAUUUUUCCUAACCUUGAACCCAAUAAUAAGGGAAUCAUAGAACAGAGGCCUACUAGACAGCGUAGGUUCUACCAACCUAGGAAUAGAAGAAAUCAGCGAAUACAUAACUUUGGUCCUAGGUUUAUCCCUACGUGUUUCAAGCCUGAAGAGUUAAGAUAUAUAAAGUCUAGGUGUCAUAAAUUCCUAACCAAAAAUAGAAUCCUUCAAGUGGUAUCUAGUAAUUUUCAAGUGGUAUCAGAGCUAACUAAAAAUAAUAAUUAGGAUUUUGAUAAUCGAAUUGACUUCCUUAGUAAUUAGGUGAGUCAAUAGACUGAGUUAAUUGUUGAGGUUGUUCCACAUCGGUUGUGAAUGGGGUUGGUAUUGAGUUUUAUAAAUGCCGAGAAAACUUAACCUCUUGAGAUAGCUUUUGGGGUGAAAAAGGCUCAAUACCACCCAACACUAGUAUCAGAGCUCGACUUAUCAACAAGUCUCUAGCCCAACAGUCACAUAGAUAUGGAUUUGUGUGAGGGGGAGAUGGUUUUGGUUUUCCGUAGGCCCUAUUUUAUGAGGGGAAACGGGUUUGGUCUCCCGUAGGGCCUGAUGUGUGGACUAGACAUGUUUGAUUUUCGACAAAGCCUGAUAUGUAAGGGGGAGAUUAUUGAGGUUGUCCCACAUCGGUUGUGGAUGGGGUUGGUAUUCAAUUUAUAAUUGUAAGAAAAUUUCUAACCUCUUGAACUAGCUUUUGGAGUGAGAAAGGCCCAAUACUACCCAACAUUAAUGACAUAAUAAACUAGGAUCAAUUCCUCUACUAGGAAAGUUUGGGUGAAGAAAAGUGAUCUUAAAAAUCUUGAAAUAGAUCACUAUGCUCUUAUAGGUAAGAGCAUUUUUAUGUUUUAGGUUCAUAUAUGUGCUUCUUCAAAUAAUUUCCAUUGGCACAUGCAUAUUUUUUUGUGUUUUUGUGUGUUGAAUUUUUUUAUUUUGUGUGUUAGAUGCAUUCAUGUUAAAAAAAAUGAGGGGAGACGUUUUUAACUAUAGUAUGAUAAAUGAUAUACUUGAGCUUGUGUGUUGUGACCAAGUAUGAGCAUAAUCGAUGUACCGUGGCGUAUUUUCCAAUACUUUGUUUAGAUUUUUAUGAAGUACUUAGUACAGGUUUCUUCAUGUACCAUCUACACUGCACGCACUAUGAUAGUAUGAGUGGAACUUGACCACAUGUGUGAGAUUUGGGAUGUCAGUCGCAUGUUGGUAAAGUGAUCUUGAACAUGAAUUGAUUUUAUUUUAGUUAACCUAAGUCUAAGUAUAUUCCCUUAAAAAUGACUAAAUAUCAUGUGCUCUUCUUUAGAGCUUAUAUAACUCAAGCAAUUAAACAUGCGAGAUUUCUCAUAACCUGGUACCUCUGGUCAACUAACUUGGGUUAACCGGCCUAAAGUUCGUUACAAGGGUCAUCUUAGUCGAUUAAUGUAGAAGAGUCUGCAUAUAAGAUAUGAAAAAUUGAUGAGAAAAAUGACGAGCUUCAAAAUUUAGAAAAUGUGUAGAAAAUAUGUAUGCUCAAAGUCAUGGGGAGAAAAUAAUAAUGUACAUGCAAAAAGAGCUUCUUUAUAGGUCCUAUAUGCACUAAUCUGUUUGACUUUCAUUAGUAGAGGAAUAAACAUAUUGACAGUGAUAUAUAGCAUGUUCUUUCUCCCAAAAUUAAGGUUUGGAAUCAUGCUUACAAAGGACUAGUGACACUUUACACACAUGAGUAACUUAUACAAUUUACUCCAUUUUAGCUUGAACUGAGUAAAGUUUACUAAUCAUUGACUAUGUUUGCACAUGCUAUGAAUUGCAUCUUUGAGUUGAUAUGUAUUAAUGUUCAAUUGUUUUUUUUAUAAAGUUUCCAUCAUCAUUUGUGACAAAAAUGGGGAGAGAGAGUUUUGAUUGUUGGGUGAGUCUGCAGUAAGGGGGAGAGAUGAUCGUAAGAGGGAGUUGAUUGUAUUUUUUGCAUUCAUGGCAUUCUAUAUCAUAAUGCAUAGCUUUUUUGAGUUUUAAUUUUUUGUGAUAUUAAUGUUUCAUUUGGUGCUUUGAUUAGUGAAAUAUCGUAGUUCGACCCAAUCAACACCUAGAGGGAGGUGAAUAGGUGUUUGUGGAAUUUUCUUUUUCAAUCAAUUAAUAAUUGCAACACAUCACAAAUAUUAAUUUGUCCAAAUCAAUUCACAUGCGUUACUAUCCUAUGUUUGAAUACCGGUAAUAAACUAAUAGCAGAAAAGUAAAUAACGCAAUUGUUUGUUGACGGAGAAACCCCAAGGUAGGUAAAACUCUAGGCCCAAGCCAGUAGGAAUCCACUAUAAAUGAAAAUACAACUUACAAUAUGUCAGACUCAACCCAUACUGAUUUUUCUGACCUCCCGACUAUAAUUUCCUCAAAGCCUUCUUGGAAUGCUUGAUCAUGCACCAACUCCCAGCUCCUAGCCCUCCUGAAUUGUGUGCUACACCAAUUCUCGGCUCUUGAUUUCGUCUAUCUCCUGUGGAUUCAAGAGAACUGCCUGUUCUCUAACGAUCGGGACUCUGAUCUCUUUCCUUGAUCUCCAAGAAUCAACAAAAGCAAGAAGGUUGUAUUGUGACGUUUGAUGAAUGUAGAUUUGAUGUUUCUAGAUGAUUGCGUGUAUCAAAUGUGGGAUUAAAUGAAUGAAUCAAGUGUAGAGAGUUUUUCUUUAAUUUCAAUCCUUAUGAGAGACGUAUGAAAAUCAGCGCAAUUUAAUUUAUAUAAAGUGUAUUAGGACAUUUGGGUUAGGUCAAAAUGUCAAAAAAAGGAAAAUAGGGUUUUCUAGGUAAUACCGUCACUCGAGCGAGAAGCAAGUUAAUUAUUGCCUUGUCUUCUUUCAACAUGUUUUCUAAAAUCACAACUCACAUACCCAGUGUAAAAGCACAAGACACAGUAAUAUAAGUUAUCAUAAUAAAGACAAACAGUCAUGCAUAGCCAUAAUAUUGUCCCAAAAUGCUAGAUUAAGAUACAAUAUCAAUGUAAGUCAAAUCACCAAAACAUACAUCAAUAUUUCAAAAACAUCAAAACAUAAUCUAACAAAAAUAGCAAAAUUGCAGUAUCAAUCAUUACAAUAGCAAAAUUGCAGUAUCAAUCAUUACAAUUCCCAAUGCUACUCCCCCUUUUUUUCAUAAAUGGCAAGGGGAACUCUAAGCAACUAAGUAUGACCAUCAUCUCCGCCAUCCACGUCCUCAUAAUCGUCAACCUUAGACUCAUAAUCCCAGUACUCACGCAUCCAUCGAAUACUGUGCUGAACCAGGGCAAUAGCCCCCCGCAAUGUAGCAAACUCCGCAGUAUGACGCUCGGAAGCAGCUCGUAACUGAGUAAUGUCGGCCAUCAUGCAGGCCUAUUGCUCAAUGAGAAUCGACAUUUGAUCCAUAAGCGCGACAGUGGGGUCAAUAGAAGCAGUAGCCGGAGCAGGCGAGGCGGGUGGUGGAACAGAAGUGGAAGAAGAGGGAAUAUCGGAAGUGGAUGGAGGAACAUCUGAAGAAGGUGGAGGAAUAGUGAAGAGACUUGAGAGUAAAUCACCUAAAGGAUCAGCGGGCACUGUCGAAUCGACAGGCUCAGCUGGCUCAGCAGGAGCAGAUGCAGAUGCAGAAGCGAAAAGCUGACAUGUAACCUAUUCUGAGAGAUGGUAGUGUGCCCUAUGGGACGAAGAGCUCGCCGUGACACCCCAUCGGGAAAUAAAACCCCAAGUGAUGUCACUAAGCGAUAGAUCAAGCAAGCAUAGAGAAGACCAAUCCAAUGACUGGGAAACCGAAAAGUGUGCAAAAUAUGCUGGCAAAUGAAAGUGGAUAGGUUAAUCAAAUCCCUAUAUAGCAGAGCAUAGAGAAAUCUUACCUUUUCCAUAGGCAGGGAAGAAGUGUGAGAGACCGACCACAGAUUUGUACACACAAUGUGCAACAAAAUCUGUCGAUCAGUGGGGAGCAAACCAGUGCGGAUCGCCUUAGGCCCACCUCCCAAUGGACUAUUAAACAGAGUGGACCGAACAAGAGAGUCAGCCGAAAUAUAAUCAGCUGAGAGAUAUGGGUAAACAGGGUGAAUGACCCGGGGAACAUGUAUGGAACUGGAAAUAACAUCUGGUGAAAUCCUAAGUAUCUGAUCCCGAAGGAACACCCUAAAGGACAACUCACUAAUGUCCUAAAUGUUCGUAUAGAACUCCUAAACAAGGAGACUAGGUGGGGGAUUUAAACCUAUCAGUAAAGAUUCCUAACCUCAUGAGGUGAGAAUGGCAGCUAAAUCAGGUGGUAAGUCAGAUAGGGUGACCUCACGCUCAACUAAGAUAGGACGCAGUGAAAACUGACUCCCAAACACUUCCUGUGCAGUAGAAGAAAUAAACUUUGACCUACUAAACGAUGUUGAACCACUAGCUGGUAAAGCUGUAGUGUGAGCCCUCUUAGGUACCAUAUGAAAAAAGGAUAUGUGGAAUGGACUUCAAGACCCAUAGAUUGCCAAGAAAUGGGAAUGCAUGAACGUUCGUGAUCCAAUGCUCAAACAUAUACAGGCACAUAGACUGAUGCAAGGGAAUGCAAUAGUAGCAAGCAUAUAAGACCAACUAAACACAUGACACAGUAGCUAUAAGACAAUAUAUAAAUGUAGGUGACGUGACCUAGACGUAAGGAGUAACGGUCACAGGACGAAGGGGAACACACUGCAGGGCAUGAAACCAAGAACAGAAACAAUAUAGCAGUGACAUGAGAACACCAAAAUGGCCAAAACAUCACUUACAUAUGCAACCAAUACCACAUAGUCACGCACAACGUGGUUGAAGCAAAACAUUGAACACAUGAUGGGCAUGAAGAAUGCAUAUAAGUUUUGCUCCAAUUCAAGUCAAUUAAAAAACACAACGAGCAUUCCCAACCAACCUAACGACCGAGCAUCUAGAAAAAUUCCCAACCACGUGCAGCAAUAAUCACAAUGAACGGCGCACAAAUAAGGCAGUCAAUGAGCAUAAAAAAAUGAAGUUCAAAUGCGCAAAUCAAGCUUAAAGCAAGGAAGUCACAAUCCACACUCCAACAUGCACAAAGAAUGAAGUAAUUGAUGCAAAACGAAACUUAAAAUUCAAAAUCCCCAAAUUGAACUGAAACUAGGGCACGAGAGGCUCUUACCCGAGAUUGGCACGAAGUAAAACCUACACCAAGGUAAUGGAAUGAGAACCCACACACAGGUAAUGAGGAGCAAAACCACCAAGAACGCCAUUAGUGAGGGGAAAUUUGAGAAAGGAAUGGAAGAAAUUUAAAAAAAAAAUGAAGUUUAACCCAAUCGCGAGAAAACAAAAAAGCUCACUGUCGCUCGAGCGACAAGCAAUCUGCUUCUAUCGCUCAAGCGAGCUGCUAGCGGCAAGCGAGCGACGGGUAAAUUGUCAAAAAUAGCACCAAGUUUUGAAAAUUGAAAAAUCCAGCACCAUGUUUGGAACUUUGAAAUGUAGCACCACUUUAGAAACUUUCAAAAUUAGCACCAUUUAUAGAAAUUUGAAUUUUGACCCCAAUUUUUUUUUAUUUAAUAGGAAAUAUACACAUGUAGUAAGUCCAAUCAAAAUGCAGUAGAUCACAAAUACGGCAUGCUCUAUGAUUAGAAAAUGUUUCUCCACACACCGGAACUAAGUACAGAUGGAGUAAAUUGCAUAUAUGACCCCAUGUGAAACGUGCCAAUCAUUCCAUGCAAGUAAGACUCAAAAACUUAAAUUUGUGAGAAGAAACAACCAAAUCAUCGAUGUGUGAGUCAACAUCCAUAUGUUUGAAGGUCAAAUCCAAUACCACUAGGACCUAUAAUUCACUGAAAUAUGGUGUAAAAUUGUUUUUUCUCCCCUUGUCAUCAAGGACCUUCAAAAUUUUUUUAUUUUUGUUAAAAUCUUUUGUGCAAUCUCAUCUCCAUUAAGCUAUUAAGAAGACCUCUGUAAGAGCGUUGGGUCGGUGACUCCCAAACCAGUUAGCUUUAGGGCACCAGGUUAUGAAAAAUCCCUCAGACUGAAUUGCUCAAGUCAAUAGGCUUCAAAGAUAGGUAUAAGACGUAAUACAAUAAAUAAUAUUCUUUUGGAUCACUUGGGGGUACACCAGCAAUUAGGUUAUCUAGUCGAAAAUCAAUUCAAACCCAAUGUCAACUCAACGACAAAUGAUAGUCAUCCUAAGUCUCACACUGCGGUCAAGACUCACUCACACGGUCCUGGUUUUUGCUGUGCAGAUAGAAUAUGAAGUGACAUAUACUAAGUACUCCACACAGACUCAAUAUAAGUGAUGGGAAUUAGAAACUAAUCAUGUAUGGAAUGCAUCUUUGAUCCCAAAUUGCAAGUCCAAGUUAAUAUAUAUAUAAUUUUUUUUUAAAAGCCAAAAUGAAAGACAAAUGCAAGUAAAAACAAUCAAGCAAUGCCAUGAAUGCAGAAAUGAAUUAUUGAAAUAAACUAAACAUGCAUGCAUCUAUGAAGACGAUCAAUGAAGAACACAGAUGCCAACAGCCUUCCUAAGUGACUCGAACCUCAACUCAGCUAGAGGUUUAGUGAACAGAUCGACAAGUUGAUUUUCAGUAGAGAUAUGUUCAAGUGACACCACAUUGGACUCAACUAGCUCUCGAAUAAAGUGAUGACGAAUGUCAAUAUGUUUGGUCCUAGAAUGCUAAACAGGAUUUUUUGAUAUGUUGAUAGCACUGAUAUUAUCACAGAAAACAGUCAUAGUACCCUAAUUUAUCCCAUUAUCACUCAGCAUUUGCUUCAUCCAAAGCAGUUGAGUGCAAUAGCUACCAGCUGCAAUGUAUUCUGCCUGGGCUAUGGACAAUGAGACUGAGUUUUGUCUCUUACUCAUCCAUGAGACAAGAUUAGAACCAACAUAGAAACAUCUAUUGGAGGUACUCUUUCUAUCGUCGGCAUUUCCGGCCCAAUCAACAUCAAAUUCUUGUUUCAUGCAUUCAGCGAAUUCAAGAGCAAGGGAGUCAAUGGGAGAGCCAAAGAUGAUGUCAUCGACAUAGAUAUAUGCUACAAUUAUAGUUUCUUCAAUAUAUCUAAUGAAUAAGGUUUUGUCAGCACCACCUCGUGAAAACCCAUGCUCAACUAGGUAAGUGGUAAGUCUGUCAUAUAUAGUGCUUUAUUGAGUUUGUAGACAUAAUGAGGAAACUUAGGGUUAAUGAAUCCUUUUGGCUAUUCAAUAUACACCUCUUCUUGCAGUAUUCCAUUUAAGAAUGCACUCUUAACAUCCAUUUGAUAUAACUUGAACCCAAGGUACAAGCAACCACAAGAAGAAUGCGAAUGGACUCAAGACGAGCAACAGGGGCAAAUGUCUCAUCAAAAUCUACCCCUUCAACCUGAGUGUACUCCUGGGCAACUAGUCUAGCCAUAUUUCUAGUUAUGGUACCUUGGUCAUCAAUUUUGUUCUUGAAAAUCCACUUAGUACCUAUCACAUUACAAUCAUCAGGCCUAGGAACUAGAUACCAAACAUUAUUUCAAACAAAUUGAUUAAGCUCCUCAUGUAUGGCAUUCACCCAACAUUCAUCUCUAAGGGCUUCCUCUACUUUCUUAGGUUCAAUCUGGGAUACAUAGCUAGUAUAUGUUAGAUUAUUUAGAACUCUCUUUCGUAACCUCAUACCUUCAUCUAAGUCCCUAAUGAUGUUAACCUUAGGAUGAUUAGAUUUGACCUUGGAAGAUGGUUCUCUAGGAAGCUUAGAUUAAUCACAAUUUGGUAGACCCGAUCAGAGAUGUCUACACCUUUAGAGGAGCGUAGAGAUUUUGAAAUUGAUUGCUCUUUAUUUUUAGCAGUGGCUACUUGAUCAUCGCUUAGAUCUUAUAUAUCUAGCCCAUUUUCAGCACUCUUUCCCUUAGUGAAGGCAUCAUCAACAACAACAUUUACAGAUUCCAUGACACUCUGAGUACGCAAGUUAUAAACUCGGUAGGCUCUACUGUUCUUAGAAUAUCCUAGAAAAACCCCAUCAUCACUUUUGGAAUCAAACUUGUCUAGAUUUUCUCUAUCCCUCAGAAUGUAACACUUGCUGCCAAACACACGAAAGUAUUUAACAGUAGGUUUCUUGCCCUUCCAGAUCUCAUAGGGAGUCUUGUCUAUUUUCAGUCUAAGGUAUACCCUAUUUACUAUGUGGCAAGCAGUGUUAAUGGCUUUACCCCAGAAAUGCAUUGCUAGAUCCUUGUCGUGAAGCAUGGCCCUAGCCAUUUCUUGAAGCACUCUAUUCUUUCUCUUAACAACUCCAUUUUGCUGUAGAGUGAUUGGUGAGGAGAACUCAUACUUAAUCCCCUCCUCCAAACAGAAGUUUUCAAGAUUGAAGUUUUCAAAUUCUUUCCCAUGAUCACUUCGAAGCCUAGAAAUGGAAAGAUUUUGUUCAAUUUUGAGUCUUUUACAUAAAGACUUAAUCAGAUCACCCGUCUCAAAUUUUUCUCUUAACAGUUCAAUCCAGGUGUAUCUGGAAAAGUCAUCUACCACAAUCAGAAUAUACCGUUUGCCUCCUAGGCUCUCCACUCUAGAUGGUCCUAUUAAAUCCCUAUAGAGAAGCUCUAAGGAUCUAUUUGUCAAGAUUUUCAAGGUUUGCUUAUGGUUUAUCCUGAGUUGCUUUCCUUGUUGACACGACUUGCACACAGUAUUUUCACUUUGAUUAAUUUUAGGUAGACCAUCGACAAUCAUUUUUGACCAAUUUGGAGAGACUUCUGUAAUUAACAUGACCAAUCCUUUGAUGCCAAAGUUCUGACAUAUCAAUUUUAGCACUACUGCACACAUAGUUUGAGUUUGGGAGAACUCUAUAACAGUUAUCACAUGUUUUAACACCUUCAAGAACAACACCACUUGAAGGGUCAUAAACAGUGCAUCUCUUUUGGACAAAACUUACUUCAUAGUCAACAUAAUAGAUUUGACUAAUGCUCAACAAGUUGGACUUAAUACUCUCUACAUAAAGCACAUUAGAUAUUGUAGAAAGUCCAGAAAUGGUGAUGAAGCCUUUACCUUGGAUGGGUACCGUAGCUCCGUCCCCAAAGGUAACUACACCACCGUUGUAGUCAUCAAUGGUAGAGAAUAAGGCCUUGUUACCACACAUGUGUCUAGAACAAGCACUAUCAAGAUACCACAUGCAAAUAUUUUGAGCCUUAUACGCUACAUGAGCAACAAAACAUUUUAGAUUCUCACCAUACUCACCCACAUUAGAUUUCUUUACCCAAACUUUUCUAGAGGUCGAGGUGAUCCUAUUCAACCUUGUUACCAUCUCAGUUAAGUGACUAACCUGAUUUGAAAGGAAGUUUACAUGACUAGGGAUAUCCUGACUUCUAUUCCUAUUUGCUAGCUUUCGACACCUAGGUCUCGUGUAAACUAAAGCACCGCAGUGAUGACAAGUGGGUAUGACCCUAGGUUCAGAUGCACGUGAGUGUUGAUCCUGAAAUUUAGGUGUAGAAAUCUUAGUGGCUCUAGUGGCCUUCAGUUCAGUGACAUUCUUGCCUUUGGAUUCUGGAUUGGUUGAAAUAUUAGACCUGUUCCGGGGACAAAUGUGGUCUUGGACGAACUAGACACAUUACCAUCACUCUUCACAAAUCAUAGACCUUGUCUAUUUCCAGUUGGUUUGUUCAUUCAUAAUAGAUCAUCUAGUUUCUUUGUUCCACUCAUAAACGACUACAGUUGAGUACUGGAUUUCUCUAACUCAUAAGUCAGUGUCUUAACCCUAUCCUCUAAUUUCUCAUUGACACACUUCAACUCACUGAGAUUUUUAGAUGAGACUUGAAGAUCAUUAGUGAUUUUCUCCUUCUCUCUCUCAAGCUCAUCUACUUUCUUAAAUAGGGCUUUAUUUACCUUUUUGAUCUUGAGACUUUCCUUAAACAGAAGUUGAUAAGCUUCAUGUAUAUCCGUCUCAUCCUUAGAAUCAUCACGGGACUUGUUAUUCUCAACCUCCUUCUCAACGUUCUCACUCUCCUUAUCUGACUCACUCUUAACAGUAGAUACAAAAUCUAUAUAGCCCUUUUCCUCUUCACUGCUUGAGGAACCACUUUGAUCACUUGAGUUAGAAUCAUCAUCAGUCAAGGACACAGCUAAUGCCUUGCUCCUUCCAUUCUUUAGAUUUUUCUUAAAGCUAGGACAUUCAUUCCUAUAGUGCCCAAAUCCUUGACACUCAUGACACCUAACCACUUGAGAUUUCUUACCAGGGUUCCUAGCAAUUGAUUUAUCAUUCGUCUCUCUUAGGAAUUUGCUAGGGGCUCCUCUCCUUUUGUCUUAGGGCCAUUCCUUGGCCUUUAAGACUUUCUGGAAUUUUUUUACAAAGUAGGCAAUCUCUUCAUCUCUAAGAGUUUCUAUGUUAGAUGACUCAGACUCCUCUUCCCUAACGGUGUUCAAGGCUAUGGACUUGUUUUUCCUCAGUUGUGAAAUGGUGAGUUCAUAGGUUUGAAGGGGUCCUAUGAGUUCUUCUAUCUUAACUGUGUCUAGGUCCUUGCUUUCUUCAAUAACUGUAACUUUAGGUCUAAGUCUCUUGGGUAAGGACCUAAGAACCUUCCUUAUGAUUUUGGACUCGGGAAUUCUCUCACCUAGGUUGAAAUAGAGUUAACAAUGUCAUUCAAUUUGACAUAGAACUCAUCAAAACACUUAUCAUCCUUCAUCCUAAUUUCUUCGAACCUUGAGGUCAAUAUUUGCAACUUAGAAUUUUUCACAGUUUUAGUUCCAUCAUGCGUUGUCUCUAGAAUGUCCCAUACCUCUUUAGCAGUUUCACACAUUGACACUCUCCUAAACUCUUCAGGAGACACAUACAUAAAUAAUGCAUGGAGACAUUUACUAUUCCAGUUGCAAUCACCCAAUUUAUCCUUAGUCCAAAGGGAAAUGUCAGUUGGGGUUACAACACUAGAAACAAUUGUGGAAGGAGGUUUCCAACCAUUUUGUAUACUCACCUAGACACGUUCAUUUAGGGACUUAAGAAAAGCACGCAUUCUAACCUUCCAAUAGGUAUAGUUGCUUCCAUUAAAAUACGGAGGCACAGAUAGUGAUUGACUCAUCUAGACAACUAUGGGUCAGGACUCGAGAUUUGACUCUGAUACCACUUGAAAUAUCGUAGUUCGACCCAAUCAAUGCCUAGACUAGGGGGUAAAUAUGUGUUUAUGUGGAAUUUUCUUUUUUAAUCAAUCAAUAAUUGCAACACGUCACAAAUAUUAAUUUGUCCAUAUCAGUUCACAUGCUUUACUAUCCUAUGUUUGAAUACCGGUAAUAAAUUAAUAGUAGAAAAGUAAAAACACAAUUGUUUGUUGAUGGAGAAACCCCAAGAUGGGUAAAACUCCGAGCCCAAGCCAGUAGAAAUCCACUAUAAACGAAAAUACAACUUACAAUCUGUCAAACUCAACCCACACUAAUUUUUCUGACCUCUUGACUGUAAUUUCCUAAAAGCCUUCCUGGAAUGCGUGAUCGUGCACUAACUUUUGGCUCCUAGCUCUCUUGGAUUACAUGCUACACCAAUUCCCGGCUCUUGAUUUCGUCUAUCUCCUGUGGAUUCAAGAGAACCGCUUGUUCUCUAAUGAUCAGGACUCCGAUCUCCUUCCUCGAUCUCCAAGAAUCAACAAAAGCACUAGAAGGUUGUGUUGUGGUGUUUGAUGAAUGUAGAUUUGAUGUUUUUAGGUAAUUGUCCAAAUCAAAUAUGGGAUUAAAUGAAUGAAUCAAGUGUAGAGAGUUUUUCUUUAAUUUCAAUCCUUAAGAGAGACAUAUGAAAAUUGACGUAAUUUAAUUUAUAUGAAGUGUAUUGGGACAUUUGGGUCGGGUCAAAAUGUCGAAAAAAGAAAAAUAGGGUUUUUUAGGUAACACCAUCGCUCGAGCGAAAAGCAAGCGACACUAUUUUCGCUCGAGCGAAGUGGGGGCGAGAAGGGAGCAACGACCUUUCUGUUUUUGUCGCUCGAGUGACUACUUGGCGAGCAGCUAGCGAAACUUCAACGACACAUUUUGCCCUACUUCAUAGCUCAAACCCUAACAUACUUUGACAAAAUUACAACUUAGUCCCUCAUCUUUUACACAUGUACAAAUUUACCCCUAACCUUUAAACAUUGACAAAUUGACCCCCAAACUUUUGAACAUUUACAAUUUUACCCUUUUGUUCACAGAAUAGCCAACACAAAAUCUAUCAAUUAGCGUUAGUAUUACUUCUCAAUCUAGCUAGCAUAUUUAUGAUAAUUUGUUUCAAUUUCUAUAUUUCCUAUAUUACGUGCUUUUAUAAUUGGUAUUUGAGUUGUUGAUUUCAAAAAACAGGUUUAACCAGGAACGCAAGAAACUGACAUUCAGCUUGGGUUUAGGUAAAAUAGUUUUAUUUUCACUUCUUUUACUUGUAUUGUAUAGUUUUGUCGCAUAAUGCCAAAGGAGGAGUUUGUGAGAUUUUUAUUGUAUUGGCAAUAAUUGAUAUUUUUUCUUUCCAAACCUACUUGUCUAAUUAUCGGUAGCAAGUGAUAUUUCAACAAACCUCUUGGCUGUAAAUGCAGUUUCCCUAUGUCUGAUUGAGAUAAGGAAGUUCAAAGACAUAUAUAUAUGAUCAAGAUUGGGGGGAGGAACCAUAUCUGAAAAUGUUGGUGAUUCUGGUUGAUCAUCAUCUUUUUCAUAUUCAUUUUGAUAAUGAGGUUUUGGAAUAAUAGGAGUAAAAUAUGCUCUUUUGUAUGAAGAUUGAAAGGAUGAUCUGGGUUUUUCUUCAGAUCUAGUUGAAAAAGACUUAGCAGAAUAAGAUCUUUGAAUCCUUGAAGAUGAUCUUUUGAAAAGAAUCUUAGCUUUUCCAUCUAGAAAAGUAAGAAUUUGAUUUGGAGUUGUUCUAGUUUGAGCAGGAACAGGUGUUUGAACAUUAUCAAAAUUUCAUUCGAGUCCACGGGAUUGAAGUUUCCAUGGAAUUCUUUUUGGAAUUUUGACAUUUGAGUGAAAAUGAUUGACUUCAACUAAAAGAAUUUCAUCUCUUGGUGAAGAAUGAAGAACUCCAAUAUUGAGUUGAGUAUUCAUAAACUUAUAAUAUACUCUGUAUAUUACAGCAAAAGCAUUUGACCUACUAUCAAAUUCAAGAUUUUUUGUUUGAAUAUGAAGAUUGAGAGAAUUGAGAAUUGCUCUAUCAGUAAGUUUGAUAGAAAAGCUUGGAUAACAGUUUGAAAAUACUGGACCACUUUCUAGAUUUGAUUCUAGAAGUGAAAGUAAUGAAUUUUCAAAAUUGAGAUGUCUCUUAUUUCUAAGAGUAAGUAAAAUUGGAACAUCAAGACCAAGUUUAAACAAGGGCUUGACUGCUAUUUGACCUAAUCCAACAUGAAGAUAUUUAAAUUUUUUCCAGUCGGAUUCAAUAGCUUCUUUUGUAAGCAAAUUAACGAAAGAAUUUUGACUAUUAGUUGAAAUAGUUUGUUCAAUAGUUUUGAUAGCAUAAUUUUGGGAAAAAUCAAAUUUUCCUAUUUCAUAGAUGGUAUGUUUAUCUAACUUUGGAAUAGUCCAAUUUUGAAGACGUUCAAUUUGUGCAAUUUGAAGUUCAUGAGAAUUGAAAUCAUUUGAUGCAAAUGAUGCAGAUGCACGAUCAAUUUCUUCUUCUAUUUGAAAAAUAUUUGUUCUAUUCUCAUUUGAUUGAUUUUCACGUCUAUUUCUAGACCUCGAUCUCCUUAACCAAUUAGUAACUCAAGACAUAAUUGAAUAAAAAUGAAAUUACUAUAAAACAAAGUAAAAACAAAAUAAUAGGAUUAACAAAUUCUCACCAAGCCUACAAUGGGACCACCCUUCAAUGCCUACACUGGCAACACGGGCUGACCAAUGCUUAAUAGCAAACGUCCAGGUUUGAACAAGAUUUUCCUAAAUAUCUUGUGCUUAUAGUGUUUGAUACCAAAAUAGCCCAGGGGAAAGAAGAAACAGAAAUAGUGAGAAAGAGAUCAAAUUGAGAAAUGUUUAUUGAAAAUUGUAGAAUUGAAAUACAAUUUUGUAAGUUUAGAGAACAAAAAUAACAAAGAAAAUAAACUUCUAUUGCCAAAUUCGCUCUGCCUUGAAAUGAACUCUUGAAGUUUUCUUUUACUUGAAAUCCGAACUUGAAAUUUCUUUCAUUUGCCAAAAACAAUCUUGAAUAGUUGAGUGGGAGACAAAAUAAUGAAGAAUCUUGAAAUAUGAUACUAGCUUUUGAAUAAUUGAGCCAUCUUUUGAAAAACUUUACAAAGAAAGAUUCCUUCUAUAAUAAAGUUGUCUUUUUCUUGGAAUGGAUGGCAAUCUGUUGAAAAAAACCUGAUUAGUUGGCAUGCAUAAUUUGAAAAGAUUUUCCCUUCAUUUAUUGAUCCGGUAAUUUCUCAAUUCUUCGAGAAAAUCGGGUUCUUGUAGUCAUAUGAUCCUCUUUUCUUGAGCAAGAAAUUAAUCAUAACCUAAAUCAAUUAGGUCAUCACCAUUGUCUGUCUCUUGAGAUUUUUGAUCAGAUUCUUGAAUACUUGAUUUUUAGAAAUUUGUUCAUAAAUUUCUAAUAAUUCUUUUGGAUCUUUGCAUUUUAAUAACAUUAAAAUAGUCCUUUGUUUUUCAAUCAGAAAAUAUGCCUGAUCAUCUUGUUCUUUCGUUGAGAAUUUUGGGACACCCAAAUUUCUUUGUUCUUGAAUCUAUGAUUGAACUGCUUUUGGACAACAAUUUGUUUCUUUGUAUUUAGACCACCAUUUGACUUUGAAUCUUCUGGUAAUCUUUUGAGUGAAGUAUUCAUCAUUUUGAUUCUGCAGUAGAAAGAAAUCCCAGCAAAAAAUCCAGGAAACUUUCAUAUUGAAGGCAAAGUGGAACAAAACAUUUUCUUGAGGCUUUAAAAAUAUUUUAGCCUCUCUUUUGAAGUAUUCAUAUCCUUGAAGAGUAAGACUGAGUAAAAAUUUUUCUUCAAGUCCAUGAUACAAAAAUCAUGUUUGAAACCAUUUUGGAAAAUGAGGAUGACAAUUUUGAUUAAAAAUAAUGAACCAUGAAUGGGUAAUAGGUCUAAAGAAAAAGACUAUGUACCAGGCAUUGAUAUAAUUAAAAUAAUUGAAAUAUUUUAAAAGUUGUAAAAUAUGUUGAAGAGAGCUUAAGUCUCUUUUUUCCCAUGGGUUUUGUCCCCAGUCUUCGUAAGACAAUACCCUAAGAAUACUGAUUUUUGAAAACAUCGUUUCUUCUUUAUUUUGAGGAUCUGGAGUAUGAGAAAUUAUGGCUGAUCUUGUUUUCAAAAGGAUAGUCUCAUAAUAAUCUUGGGAUUUUUUGAAAUUUGAUGGCAUGAACCAAAAAUUGGUUGGAAAAAUGUUUGGAAGACAUUCGUCCAAAUUUUUGUAUCUAUGAAGCCAAUAUGUUUCCAUAUCAAGGGAAUUUUCAAAGAUACUUUUGGUAAAAUAUUGAAAAUUUUGAGAAGGGUUUAUUUGAGGAAGUUUUCCAGAGCUUUGGACGACUUUUUGUAGUUUGAAGGGGUAGCUUUAUUUUGAUUGGGUUUUUUGAUAAGAGUCGAAAGGGUAUUUGAGGAGGAAGAAGCUUCUUGAGCUUCAUUUGGAGAAUGAUCUUUUGAGAGAUCAUUAAUUGAGAAAAAAGGAGUAGAAUUUUUCUUUCUACUUUGUUUCUUUUGAAACGGAUUUUGAUCUUCUUCUUCAACUUGUUUCACACAACUCAUUUUCAUUUUUUUUGUGAAUGAACUCUCUUGUGAGGAAGUCUGCUAAGAAGUUUGAUUUCCCUUGUAUAUAUAAAAUUUCGAAAUCAAAACAGGACAAAAUAGCCUGCCAUCUUACAAAGAUUUGUUUAGAAACAAGAUUUUUCACAUCUUUUUGUAAAACAUCUUUUGAGGCUUUAGAAUCUGUUUUCAAAAUAAAUUUUUUAUUGAUAAGAUCGUCUUGAAAUUUUGAAAUACACAGUACUAUUGAAAGAAUUUCCUUUUUGAUAGUGGAGUAAUUCUUUUGAGGACCGGUCCACAUCCACUGUGAUACCUAACUAACUGUUCUUGAGAUGACCCUAGUGGGAUUUGCUUUAACAUGCCACCAUACCCAAUAUCUGAGGCAUCAGUCUCAAUAAUAAUUGAAGCUGUGGCGUCAAGUAUUGAAAGAUAUGGAAUAUUUUUAAUUGCUUUUUUGACUCUUUGAACUGCAACUGUGUGCUCGUAACUCUAUGGGUCAGGGUUGUUUUGUAGUCUUUUGAAUAAUGGGGCACAGAUUUGACGUAUACUUUUGACAUAAUUGACACAAUCUAAAAAGCGUUGCAAACUUGUUUUAUCUAUGAUUUCAUCUGAAAAUUUGUUAAUGAAAUCAAAACUUCUUUGAAUAGGAGUUAAAGUGUCAUUAUGAAUAUAAUGACCAAGAAAACGUAUUUUUGUUUGAAAUAAAACAAUCUUCUUAGCAGAAAACUGCUAAACCAUUUUUCUUAGUAACAGAAUGAAUGUAUGAAUAUGUUUAGAAUGUUGUUCUAUAUUUUCACAAAAUAUAAGAACAUGAUCAAUGUAAACAAUAAUGAAUUUUGAAAAAGGAUUGAAAAUAUCAUUCAUAAUUUUUUGAAAUUCAAAGAGAGCAUUUUUUAGACUGAAUGGCAUAACAUUCUAUUCAUAUUGUCCAAAAGGAACAUUGAAGGCAGUCUUGUAUCUGUCUUCUUCUUUAAUUUGAAUUUGCCAGAAACCUGACUUAAUAUCAAAUUUUGAAAAGAUGACAGCUUUACAAAAACGAUUCAAAAGAUCUUUCUUUUGAGGAAUAUGAUAUCUAAUCAUUGAAGAGCAGUAUUGAGGGGUUUAUAAUUAAUAACCAAACGAGGAACUCUACGUUCAAUUUCAGUAGAAUUAUUGAUGUAAAAAGCUGAACAGCUCCAAGGAGAUUUACUUGGUCGGAUUAAACCUUUCUCAAGUACAUCAUUUAUUUCUUUAAUACAAAAAUCAAGUAACUCUUUAUUCAUUUGAAUAGGACUUGAUUUUGUAGGAAUAUUUGAUUCAUGAAAAUCAGAAUUGUAAGGAAGAGAAGCAUGUUUCUUUCUAUCCCAGAAGGCAUUUGGAAUGGUUGAACAAAUUUCUUUUUCAAUUCUAUUUUUUAAUUCUGAAUUUUUUGCUUGAAGAAUAGACUCUUGCAAUCUGUUCUCCAUUUUUUGAAAUUGAAUUUCUUUUUUAAGAAAUUGAAUAUGAUUUCUUUUUAAAUUAAUAUUGUUGAUACUUUUUGAAAUAGCAGCCUCUUUUAAAGAAUUAAUAUCUUUAUAAGAAUGAGGAUUUGUAAAUUCAAAAAAUAUUUUUUGAUAAAAAACUUUUGUAGUUAAUCCUUUAUAAUUAGCUUUGAAAGGAUAAAUUUGAACAAUAAAAGGUGUACCAAGAAUAGAUUCUCGAUCCAAAUCCUUUACAAAAUAAAAAAUAGUUUUGAAACAAAUAUUUGAAUUACAAACAUGAGAUUUUGAAAUUUUAUAAUUGAUAUUAAGCUUUUUUUCACUAGCUUCAUAAAGACGCUUAGUGGUUUUUUCAAAGUAUUUUGUAGGAAACAAGUCUUCUUUGAUACAAUUUUGAUCUGCACCUGAAUCAAUAAGAACCUGUGUUGUAAAUUUGAAUUCUUUAUUUACAACAAUGGUCAUAUUGUAAUACCAUUUUUAAAGUUAAAUUUGGUUAAUAACGUUAACCUUUUCUUCUUCAGAUUUGAGAAGUUUGAAAUCAGAAUCUAAUGAACAAUCAGGUGAAAAUUUAGAAUGUUUUGAGGAAACUUUCAAUUUUCCUUUGAAUUUUGAAUAAAAUUCAUCAUUUAAGUUUUUUGCUUUCAUACAAACGACUUCCAUAUGAAUUUCUUUGACUUGAUUUUCAAGGUCUGAGAUUUUAGUUUUCAUACUCUUAAUCUCUUAUUGAAGAUCAGGAAUAGAAGGUUUAGAACCUUUAGAAAAUUCUUUUUGAGGUCGUUUGAGAAUUUGAUUGAUAUUGAUAUCAUCGAAAUCUUGUUUUGAAGUAGAAGGUAAAAGAGAGAAGAGUUUUUUCUUGAGAUUAGGAUUAUCAAUCCUAUCAAUGAUAUCUUGAAUAACUUCUUCUUCUCUAGAUAAAAUAUUUAUAGUUUUACAACCACAAAUUUCUUUUUCUGAGUUUGAAGAAAUAUCAGAUGAAUGAGGAAGAGGAGAAGAUUCAUAAUCAGAAUCUUCUUGAUUAAGAAAAACUUGUUCUAAUUCUGAGUUAGACUCAUUAUCAGAACUUGAUUCAAUAAGAUUGAGAAGUUGAGUUUUAGUAUCUUCAUCAAUUUGAAGAUUACUAAUCUUGGUUUUGAGUGGACAUUUAUUGGAAUAAUGACCAGUCUUAUUGCACUUCUAGUAAGUAAUAUUUGAAGAAUUUUUUGAAUUUUUCUUUUUUGAAAAAGGUUUUCUUUUGUUAGAAAAUUCUUCUGGAUAUUUUUUAAAAUAUUUUCUUUUAGAAAAUUUUCUAUUUUUAGAAAAAAAAUUUGAUUUUGAAGAUGGAGGAAUGAUCUUUUCAUAACCAUAUUGUUCACAAAAAUAUCCAAGUUCUUUUUGACUCUUAGACUUUUCUGCUUUCAAUUUGGCUUUGAGUUUUAAAUCAUUACACAAAUUUAAAGCUUCUUUAUUGAUAAAAUUAAUAAUUUCUCCAUAGGUAAGUGUUUGAAGGUCAUCAAAUUCUUGAAAAAUAGAAUUUUUUUACUCUUUCUGCAAAGAGUUAUGGAAGUCCAGAAAUGAAUUUUUCUUUCCAAAAAGAUUGUUGCCAAUCUUCUCUUAUCAUGAUACGAGAUAAAAACAUAUCUUUGUACCAUCGAAAAUCUUGUAGUUUUGGACAUCUUAAAUUUAUCAAAAUGUCAUUUUGCAUUUGAACAAUAUUUUCUGAAGUACCAAUAAAAAGUUUGAUAAUAGUUAAACCAAGAACGGUAAAACUAUCACUAAUCUCAUUUCCAUUUGUAUCAUUAUUUUCAUCACGUUUGACAGCAGAAAAGAUAAUAUCCUUCUCAGUUUGAGAAAGAUAAUUAUCCCACCAUUGACCAAGUUGUCUAGUGAAUCCAAGAACAAUAUUAUUAGUAGCAUCUCUUCUUGAAGUACCUUUUGUAAGAUAAAUUUUGUAACACAUGGUCAUUUGUCCCAUAAAAUUGAUAAUUUGAUAUUCAGUAAGUCCAUCGAGAUUCCACUCGACACUGAAAUUACCGCCAUAAGUUCUUUGAGGAUUAUCUUUUUCUUCAAAAAGCUGAUCAAGGAAUGAAGGACGAGGAUAAUAUUUUGGAAGAUUUUGAUAGUUAAAUUUUCUCAAUUUAUUAAUUGAAUCAUAUUUUUCAUCAAUAAAUUGAGCUUCAAUUUCAUCAAUGGUAUUGAUGUUUUUUGAAACAUGAAAUUUUUUUAAUUGAGUGGCAAGUUCAGAAAGAAUUUCACUUUCAGUUUGAAGAGUAGAAGAUUUUCCAAAUUAAGGAAUCAAAUCAUUACUUUUGAAAAUUGAAGAGGAAGAGGAUGAUGGUUUUGAUAAAUUCUUAUCUUUACUACUACUUUCUCUAAAUUCUUUAGAAGAAUCUUUUUGAGAAGUAAUAUUCUCAGAUUCAGAAUUUGAUUCGAUACAAUUGAGCUGAGAAAACAUAGAUUGAAGAACAAUAUUAGUAUAAUUGUUCUGAGAUUUGAUAUUUUUGAUAUCCUUAUCAACAACCUAAGAUUCAUCAUAUCGUUCUUUAGGAAUCCUCUUGAGGGGAGAUGCAAUGAUUUCAGUUUUUCCAUGAGGAAUAACUAUUUCUUGCAUAGGAGGACGAGUUGAUUGGAAAGUAUUUCCUUCUGGAGUUUUCCAAGUAUUGACACGAGUUUUUGAAGUAAAAAUUUUUAUUUUUUCUGGCCUUUUACCAAAAACUUUGAAUUGAAUCUAGUCAUAGAAACUUAAAUCAGUAGAAGAUUUGAAAUAAGAUUCUUUUUGUUUUUUUUCUCUGAAAAGUUUUCUAAGAUUUUUGAUACAAAUAACUGAUCAUUUUUGAAUUCUUUUCUUCUAUCAAUUUCAGAAGAAAUAACAUUACAUUAAUGUUCAAGAUUGGAGGAAGGAACCAUAUUUGAAAAAGUUGGUGAUUUUGGUUGAUCAUCCUUUUUUUUAUAUUUAUUUUGAUAAUGAGAUUUUGAAAUAACAGGAGUAAAAUCUGCUCAUUUGUAUGAAGAAUGAAAGGAUGAUCUGGGUUUUUCUUCAGAUCUAGUUGAGAAAAGACUUAGCAGAAUAAGAUCUUUGAAUCCUUGAAGAUGAUCCUUUGAAAAAGAAUCUUAGCUUUUCCAUCUGGAAAAGUAAGAAUUUGAUUUAGAGUUGUUCUAGUUUGAGCAAGAACAGGUGCUUGAACAUUAUCAAAAUUCCAUUCGAGUCCAUGGGAUUGAAGAUUCCAUGGAAUUCUUUUUGGAAUUUCGACAUUUGAGUGAAAAGGAUUGACUUCAACUAAAAGACUUUCAUCUCUUGGUGAAGAAUGAAGAGCUCCAAUAUUAAGUUGAGUUCAUAAGCUUAUAAUAUACUCUGUAUAUUACAGCAAAAGCAUUUGACCUACUAUCAAAUUCAAGAUUUUUUGUUUGAAUAUGAAGAUUGAGAGAAUCGAUAAUUGCUCCAUCAGUAAGUUUGAUAGAAAAGUUUGGAUAAUAGUUUGAAAAUACUGAACCACUUUCUAGAUUUGAUUCUAGAAGUGAAAGUAAUGAAUUUUCAAAAUUGAGAUGUCUCUUAUCUCUAAGAGUAAGUAAAAUUGGAACAUCAAGACCAAGUCUAAACAAGGGCUUGCCAGCUUUUUGAACUAAUCCAACAUGAAAAUAUUUAAAUUUCUUCCUGUGGGAUUCAAUAGCUUCUUUUGUAAGUAAAUUAAUGAAAGAAUUUUGACUAUUAAUUGAAAUAGUUUGUUCAAUAGUUUCGAUAACAUAAUUUUGAGAAAAAUCAAAUUUUCCUAUUUCAUAGAUGGUAUGUUUAUCCAUCUUUGGAAUAGUCCAAUUUUGAAGACAUUGUUCAAUUUGUGCAAUUUGAAGUUCAUGAGAAUUGAAAUCAUUAGAUGCAGAUGCAUGAUCAAUUUCUUCUUCUGUUUGAAAAAUAUUAGUUCUAUUCUCAUUUGAUUCAUUUUCACGUCUAUUUCUAGACCUCGAUCUCUUUAACAAAUUAGUAACUGAAGACAUAAUUGAAUAAAAAUGAAAUUACUAUAAAACAAAGUAAGAGGAUUAACAAGUUCUCCCCAAGCCUACAACGGGACCACCUUUCAACGCCUACACCGGCAACACGGGCUGACCAAAUCUUAAUAGCAAACGUUUAGGUUUGAACAAGGCUUUCCUAAAUAUCUUGUGCCUAUAGUGUUUGACAAUAAUAUCACUUUACUCUCUUAUGGCUCUGAUACCAAAAUAAAGAAGAAACGAUGUUUUCAAAAAUUAGUAUUCUUAGGGUAUUGUCUUACGAAGACUAGAGACAAAACCCAUGGGAAGAAAAGAGACUUAAGCUCUCUUCAAUAUAUUUUACAACUUCUGAAUAUUUCAAUUAUUUUGAUUAUAUCAAUGCCUGGUACAUAGUCUUUUUCUUUAGACAUGUUACUCAUUCAUGGUUCAUUCUUUUUAAUCAAAAUUGUCAUCCUCAUUUUCCAAAAUGGUUUCAAACAUGGUUUUUGUAUCAUGGAUUUGAAGAAAAAUUUUUACUCAGUCUUACUUUUCAAGGAUAUGAAUACUUCAAAAGAGAGGCUAAAAUAUUUUUAAAGUUUCAAGAAAAUGUUUUGUUCUAAUUUGCCUUCAAUAUGAAAGUUUUCUGGAUUUUUUGCUGGGAUUUCUUUCUACUACAGAAUCAAAAUAAUGAAUUCUUCACUCAAAAGAUUACCAGAAGAUUCAAAGUCAAAUGGUGGUUUAAAUUCAAAGAAACAAAUUGUUGUCCAAAAGCAGUUCAAUCAUGGAUUCAAGAACAAAGAAAUUUGGGUGUCCCAAAAUUCUCAAAGAAAGAACAAGAUAAUCAGGCAGAUUUUCUGACUGAAAAACAAAUGAUUAUUUCAAUGUUAUCAAAAUGCAAAGAUCCAAAAGAAUUAUUAGAAAUUGAUGAACAAAUUUCUAAAAAUGGAUCUAAAAAAUCAAGUACUCAAGAAUUUGAUCAAGAAUCUCAAGAGACAGACAAUGGUGAUGACCUAAUUGAUUUAGGUUAUGACGAAUUUCUUGUUCAAGAAAAGAGGAUCAAACGACUACAAGAACCCAGUUUUUUUCGAAGAAUUGAGAAAUUAGCGGAUCAAUAAAUCAAGGGAGAUUCUUUUCAAAUUAUGCAUGCCAACUAAUCAGCUUUUUCUCAAAAUAUUGUUGUCCAUUUCAAAAAAAGAUAACUUUAUUAAAGAAGGAAUCUUUCUUUUUAAAGUUAUUCAAAAGCUGGUAUCAUAUUUCAAGAUUUUUCAUUAUGUUGUCUCCCACUCAACUAUUCAAGAUUCUUUCCAGCAAAUGAAAGGAAUUUCAAGUCUGAAUUUCAAGUAUAAGAAGACUUCAAGAGUCCAUUUCAAGGCAGAGCGAAUUUGACAAUAGAAGUUUAUUUUCUUUGUUAUUUUUGUUCUCUAAACUUACAAAAUUGUAUUUCAAUUAUAAUAAACAUUUCUUUCUCAAUUUGAUCUCUUUCUCACUAUAUAUAUAUAUAUAUUUUUUAUUUUUAUUUUUAUUUUUAUUUUUAUUUUUAUUUUUAUUUUAUUUUAUUUUAUUUUUUUUGGGGGAUAAAUCAACCAUGACAUGUAUUAUUGAGAUGAAAGAAAAAAAUUACAGUAGGAGAGCACAUUAAACUCAUGUUUGGUUUAGAUAAUCGAAUUUUUAGUAAAUUUUGAUAAAAGUUUAUGGAAUGUGUGGUUGAAAAGUUAUGGAUCUCAUGAAAUACAUGGUUAUAAUUAAUGGUUUACUUUGACUUAGAUUUUAUUUUACCUUUUAAGCUGUACCAAAUAGGGACUGAUUAGUUGGAAGAUGAGUUACUUAGAUUGUGAGAUGAGUUACUUAGAUUGUGUUGAUGUUAGUGCAUAUCUCAAUUUCAUAAAAGCUUAAUGAAGACAACAAAAAUUAUUUUAAAAUACACGCAUUCCAAGUUUAUUAAAAUAUAAAACAUAAUACUUGUAAUGAAAGAUGGCUACACAUCGACAGUGUAGUCUCCCAAGCAAAGACUACAGUUUAUUUAAUUAAAACCAAAUUAAUGUAGUCUCCAGCAGAGAUCUACAUUUUUUUUUUUAAUUAAAGUCAGUUUAAUAUCAUGAAACAGAGUUUAUUAACUCAACCAGCUUCUUAGAUAGAUAAGUAAUUUAUCCCCCAGCUUUUUCAGCAAUGCAUCAAGCGAUUGCUAACUCCUUGAUGAAAGCCUCUUCCACUGUUGCACCAGUCAUCACCUCCUCAGUAAUUUUUAUUUUUUUAUUUUUUAUUGUUUGUUGUUGACAGAAUCUUCAAUUCAUGAGGGGAAUUUUAGUAAAAAAUAUAAGGAAGCUUUUUGUCUUGCUAGAUUCAAUCUGGAAGGCAACAUAUCAUUAAGUUUAUGUUCACAUGAUCUUAAUGUUGUUUGAUUUGUUUUGCUGGAUAUGUUAAAGGUGAAGAUUAUUAAGAAUUGAGUGUUGGUUGAUUUCUUUUGUUUCAAAAGGGUACUGAUUAGGAUUUGUGAUGUUAACAGUGAAUACUAAAUGUAAGGUCUGUUUGGAUGCUAAAAAGAUAAGUCUCUAUAAAGGUCGGCCCUAGUACGAUCUCACUCAAAUCAAUAUUACUCGAGUUUAAUAUACAUGAUUAAUUUUGAGCUACCAAACAAGCCCAAUAUUGUUAAGGUAAGCUGAUUUAAUUUAAAAAUUAAUAUUACACAUCAAGUAGUUAUUUUAAUGAGUUAUAACUUGAAUUUGCUUUAUCUAAAUUAACUUUUUCUCAAGUCCACAAUGUGUCAUUUAGUAUGAGUAUCGGAAUGAGUCCAAUAUUGAUAAGAUAAUUUUGAUGCUCUAAUAACUACACAUUUGAUACAAAUAAAUUAUUGAUCCCGAAACUGAUUUUCACUUUAAUCCCUCAAAAUCUCAAAUUUAUUAAAAGGUCCUUGGAUCAAAAUCAAAAGAAUCUAGUUAUGUUUUCACUCACUAAAUAAUCCUAACACGUCACAUUAUCGGCUAAAAAUUAUAUAUUUCUCACUAUUUUGCAAUCUAAUCCCUAAAUUUUGCACUUUUUAUAACUAGAAAUCAUUUUUCUCUUUACGAAUCAUCCUUACAAUAUUCAAAGGACUUCAAAUUAUGCUUCACAAAAAACUUAUUCAUGAUUUCUAAAUUGCACUUCAUUCAAGUUUUUUCAAUUAAUAAUUUUGAAGAUAACUAUAUACAUGACAUUUUUUUUUCACAAACGGGAUAAUUCCGCUAAAUAUUAUGUUAUUGUAGUCUCUAAAGUUGUUGAAAUUUUUUGAUUUUUAUUUUUUUUGCAAUUCUAUCUUUUGGAUUGUUACAAGGCCUCUUGUAAAAUAUAAAUCUAUUAUUUACUUAAACAUUUAAGUAUUUUUCCCGUUUGUAAAAAAAUUAUAUCUAAAGGUCUCAUAACGAUGACUCGUCUAGAGUCUCAAAAUUCUUGGGGCUGCCCUGGUCUCUAUAACUUAUCUCUAUAAUUUGAUCAUUUUGUAUCUUGGUUGUCAUUUUGAGACUGUUCUACUGAAGAGCAUUAUCCACUUUUGGGUAUGCUUAAUGAGGGAAUAGGUAUUGAGAGUGGUCAUGUAAACUAUGGGCAAAAAAUCAUUUGCGUUCAUUUUACUUUUCUACACUAAUUUUUGGUCUUUUUGAUUUUGGGGGUAUAAUCAUUAUUUCUAUUUCUGGGCAUUUCAGUUUAUAAUAAGCAUGUUUGGGGUAGCUUAUAAGCCUGAGAGAGAAAGAAAAUUAUAUGUGAAUCCACAAAUCUCUAUUAGCUAUUUGUCUGGGUGAUUUUCUUUAUCAUGUUAUAAUUGGUGUGAUACAAUCUCAAUUUCUAUUUCUAUUUCAAUUCUAACCAACAUCUUCAUGUCUUGAAUGUCACUUCAAGGAGCAUCCGACAAAAUUUGAACGUCUAUAUCCAAGGGAUAAAAAGCACAAGAUGAGAAAUGAUUUAUUAUUAUUUUCCAAAAAAAGAAACUCUAUCUUCUUUGGUACAAAGUUUCCUAUAUAGAUAUAUUAUCAAAUUUUGUCUCUGAAAAAAUUUAUUUUGUUGGUUCGAGUCCUUAAAAGUGUCAAUUUAUACUGGACUAUGCAUAGUAUCCCUUGAGGCUAGUCUUCUAUGCAACAAGCUCCAUUUAGUGGCAUAGAAUCGUGUUGCUCCGUGGCACAUAAAAUAUUUUAAUUUGAAUUGAAUCUGAAAUUAAAAAGAAAACAAAAAUGUGCUGAGUUUAGGAUUGCCUGUAAUGGUCUAGGAUGGCACAAAAUCUAGGGUUUGUGCCGGAUCCACAAAAGUAUGUUAUGCAUUAACAAGGUAAUUUAUGAGGGUGGCUAAAGUGAAUUCUAAGAAAUGGCAGUAAGAUUACUUUUAUAGGCUGCCAACAUUAUUGAUGGAAAUUUAGGCACAUUGGUACAAAGUGUAAGAUUAGGAGAAUAGAAUAAAGUGGGAUAUAUGUUAGAGAGAUUUGUAUUAAGGUGAAUUACGAAGUUAAUACGGUGUACAAAAAAAUAUUUAAGUACUAAAAAGUAAAAGAUAAAACAAAAAAUAUUGAUAAUAUUUUUAUUUAUAAAUAAUUUUUUAAUCAUAAACUAGUUUUCAUGUAUGAUUAAUUUUUUGACUUGUAAGCCAUUCUUUUCUUAUAAGUAAUUUUUAUUUUGUACUUACAAGUGGAUUUUUACUUUUAGCCAAAUAUUUUAUCAUUAAGUGAAUUAUUUUACUUGUCGUAGAUUUUGAAUUGUAAGUGUAUGUGUUCAUAAAUUUUUACUUAUUAGCAAAUUUUUACUUAGUAAAUAAAUUAUUUAACAUAGAAGUGAAUGUUUUACCUAUAAGUUAAAUUUUUACUUGUAAAUGAAUUUUUAAAUUUAUGAAUGAAUUUUUACUUAUAUGAUAUAAUUGAGACAAAUGUAAAAUUUUGCCUACCACGUGUUAUAUAUCUUUAAGAUAAGAUAUUUCCAAAACUAAUUUUAACUUCACAAAUGGGCCCCCAAGUUUUUGUCCAAAUAUAAAUACGACAAUUACGAGUGAACCAAUAUUUUAAUAAGUGAAGUUUCAGUUUCAUGGUCCUUCAUAUUAAAUGAUGAGCAGGUUCAAAGCUUUUAAAAGGUCUUUCAAUAUAAUUUUGAAAUUGAGUCAAAUGUAAAUAUUUUUCAUGAAUAUUUUUAUAUAGAUGUUUAUCCCAUGUUAUCUAAAUUAGAUUCCAUAUUUUUUAAAAUUAUAAUUGCACAAAUGGUCCUCAAGUCUUCUAUGCAAAUCUAAACACAACAAUCACGGCUGAACCAAAAUGGUCAUAUUAACAAUUAUUGGAUAAGGUACCGAUGCUUUUAAAAGGUCACAACCACAUAUUCAUAUCAAUGAGUGUCAUGUUAUCUAAAAUUUGGAUUAGACAUUUCCAAAACAAAUUUGAACUAAUUGUAGAAGUACUACCAACGUGUUGCGAAUAUAUGAAAUCAAGACUAUCAUUUUUAUCAUGACACAUCCUUUCCAUCACUUGUAGUACAAUUUCACCAUAAAAAAUGUUCGUGCAUUAUUCAGUUCUAAUUAAAUGUAAGAGAAGAAAGAAACAACAUAAAGACUUUAUAUUUAUCUAAAAUAACAAAAUGAUGAAAGGAAAAAGAAUUUCCCUUUCAUCUUCAUCUCUCUAAAACAAGUAGUUGAAAUGCAGAACUAGGACCAUCUCUCUUUCUCUCUCUUAAACUAUCCUCUCUUGCCAUAUUUCCCCACUCUAUAUUCUCAAAACACUAAUUCCACUUGGCCAUUCCCCCAAACCCAAACCUUAUUGAAUAAUAUUCAAUCUUGUAGUAGGGUAAUUGCUAUGUCCACAAGUAAAUCAGUCAUCUGAACAUCUGCCAAGAAAUAACAUUGAAUUUACACAGUGGAAAAAGUUGGGAUUUAAGCAAAUAACUCUUAAACUAGAGAAUUAUAUCAGAAUCGCUUUAGAAAUCAUUGGUUAAUUGGUGUGUCGCAUCUACCCAUAAACAUAACAAUUUUAAUGGUUUGGUUUGGGUUUCGAUACUUUAAUUGCAGUUGGAAACUGAACAUGAAUGAUUAUAUAAAUAUUAAUUUCUUUUUUUCAAAGUUGGUCUAAAUUGAACAUGGAUUGGAUCAGAAAAUUACUAUCUUGACCUCCAAAAAAAUAUGAUAUUAAAAAUUUAUUUUAAAUAUAGGUAAUUGAACGUUAUAAAACCAUUAGGUGUAGAUUUGAUGUUUUUCAAAUGCAAUUGUAUUACUAAAAAUUUUGUUAGAUACAUCAAUUUAAAAUUUUUUUUAUUUAGUUAAAUAACCUUAAGUAAAAUUACAUAAAUAUGGUUUUAAUACAUUUAUCAUGUAAAAUAAUUUAUUGUUAAACCACAAUCAUAAACCUAAUUUUCUUUCUUUCUUUUCCCUCAACAGCCAUGCCAUAGCUUUUCCGUCGGUGGCCUUUGCGUUCUAUCACGAUGGAAAAUAAUUAUGUUUUUAGUCUGACUUUAUACAUGUUUGGGCAGCUAAGAGAGUUCUUUAGGCCGUCUAAUUGAGUUCUGAUAAUCUUGUUUUUAUUUAUUUCAGAUUCUGUUUCCUCUAGGAAGGAUACUUGUAACAAUUUUCAGAUGUUUGUGGUUACAUCAUGUUUGUGGUUACAUCAUUUAUAACACUUAUAAUUGGAGCAAAUGAAGCCAAGGCAGCCGAUUCAAUGUAGGCAAGUAAACAUAAAUUAUUUAAUGUCGUCUUGAAUUCUUACGUUAAACAGGAAGAUGACAUCUAGUAUGAGGCUUUCUACCAAGUGUGUGUCUUUCCAUCACUUGUAUUACAAUUUCUCCAUAAAACUUUUAAAAAAAAUAAAAAUAAAUCAUGCAUUUUUCACUUUUAAUUUAAAUGUAAGAAACGAAAGAAACAACAUAAAGACUUCUUCUUCAUCUAAAAUAACAAAAUGAUAAAAGCAAAAAGAAUUUUCUUUUCAUCUUCAUCUGUCUAAAACAAUUGCAACAGAAAUGUAGAAACCCUGUCUCGCCAUAUUUCCCCACUCUAUAUUCUCAAAACACUAAUUUAAUGAUGUCGUUCCAGCUACGAUAUUUUAAUUGUAGUUGGAAACUCAACAUGAUUGAUUAAAAAUAUUAAAUAAACUAAAUACAAAUAUUAAUUUUUUUUUUUCAAAAUUUGUCUAAAUUGAACAUGGAUUGGACCACAAAUUACUGUCUUAACCUCUAAAAAAAUUAUGAAUGCUAAAAUGUUAAUUUAAAUAUAGGUAAUUUUGUCAAUUGUCACUUACCAACUACCCUAAUUUCCUACACCAAUCAAUCCUUCAUGAUUGAUAGUUCAUACUUUAGACUCCAAACCCUCUUUACACUUGAAAUGUUGAAGGCUAAAAAGCUCUGCAAUAUCAUUGAUUAAUAGAUAUUUUGUAUAUAUGUGUUUAUGUGUUGGGGGGGAGCGUUUGUUUGUUUCAUUGUCAAUAAUGUGGGAAUAAAAAGUGAAUUAAAAAAAAGUACAUCGAAAAACGAAAAUUUAAAACGUAAUAAAACAUAAGGUGUAGGUUUGAUGUUUCUCAUGGGCAAUUCUAUAACUACUACAAAUUUUGUUAGUUACACCACAAUUUUGGGUUUGUUUUUUAUUUACUUAAAUAGCCUUAAAUAAAAUUACAUAAAUGAUGUUUUAAAAUAUUUAUCACAUAAAAUAAUUUAUUGCUACACCAUGAUAAGUGCAUUUUGUGUACUUAACGAGUCAUAUUACUAAGCUUUCAUGUCGUGAAAUUAUUGAAUUUUACUUAUUUUUGAUUACUUUUUGUUUGCUUCAGUGUUUGACCAGUUUUGAAGCAAUUGGAGAAGAAAAUGAUCAAUUGGCUAUUAAAUAGAAGUUUGUGGACCAAAUCUCACUUGAAUAAAAGUUGGAGAAUCAAAAUUGAGAGUGAACUCAAGGACUAAAGUGCACUAAUUUAAAAGAAGUAAGGACUUGAAGGGAAAGUGACACUUAGUUGGGCUUUGAAAUUGGACUUGCAAUAGGAGUGAAAUUGAUGAGGAAUUGGAUUCUUUUCCAGUUGGAGUAAUAAUUGGCAAUUGAUGGGAAUAGAAUUAAGGGGUAAUUACAUAAAUACCCACAAAAUGGGAGUCAUUUAGAAAAAUCAUGAUAAAAGUUAUUUUGAAGUAAAAAAUACGGUAAUUUUUUCAUUUAGUGUUCAACGGUAAUUUUAUUAAAUUGAAUCUGAAAUUAAAAAGAAAGUCAAAUGUGUUGCCCUAGCAAAAACUCAUAUUUUGACGGUUUAACACGACACGACCCGACAAAAAUUAGGGGUUGCGCCCAAUUCAUGGAAGUUGUUUGAGGAGAAUUCACAAAGCAUGCAGGUAGUGAGAUAUUAAUGACCACAAAAGGAAAUAAAAUCAUGUAAGUGUGCAUUAACAAGACAAAUGAGGAGGGCAGCUAAAGUAAAUUCUAAGAAACGACAGUAAAGUAAAUUUAGGGCAUCGUCGUAUAAAGUGCAAGAUCAAGAGAAUAGAAUAAGGGGGGGAUUUGUGUUACAGAUAUUUGUAUCAAGGUGGAUUAUGAUAUACUAUUUUAUAACAGUGUUUGAUAUUAUACCAUAUCAAAAAAAUACUCAUAUAUCAAAAACAUUUUAACAAUAAAUAUACACACACAUACACGUUUCAUAAACUUAUGAGUCAUUCUUUACUUUUCAGUGAAUUUUUAUUUUUAACCGAAUGUUUUAUAUACAAGGUGAAUUUUUAUACUUAUAGUAUAUUUUUACUUUUUCAUAUCAUUGCAUAAUCGAGACAAAUGUAAAAAAAAUAAAAAAAUAAAAAAACUAAAAAAACAUAAAAAAAUUCAAUCAUAUCUCUAUGUCAAUGAGUAUCUCGUGUUAUCUAAAUUUUUUAUUAGGUCCUUGUGCCCUAUUUUUCUUCCAAAAAAACAUCAUUAUUUUUCAAAAGAUAUAUCGGUCCUUUUUUACUUACAUUUUAAUGAAAUGUUGAAGGCUUUCUAUCACAAGAGAGAAAGUAAUUUUCAAAUUAAGCAUCUAUUUUGUAGAAAUUAAAAUUAAUUUCAAUCAAAGCCAACAAUUAAUUUUAACUACAUAUUUUACGGGCCUCAUAACUUUUCAAUCACACAGUUAUCAACUAUUAUCAUAAUUUAUUAAAAUCUAAUUUUAAUCCCCAUCAAAUAGGGGGUCAAAAUUGUGCAUUUUGUAUAAAUUCCAUUUUACUAUCUGAUGAAAGUAAAUUACGUGAACCAUCAAGGGUAAAAUCGAUAAUUUGGAUGAGCUAUAUAUCUAUCCUACUCAACCUACUGUAACGUAAAUUUUAUCGGCCUCAUUUUUAUUAUUUCAAAAGUCAACAUCAUAUCUAGCAAAAUUUCAAAAUAAUAUCCAAAAUAGAAGCAUCUACGGAUAUAUCCUAGACUAAUUUGUACCACAAAUGGUCGCCCAAGUCCUUUGUCUAAAUAAGUCUGAACAUCUACGGAUCUAUUGAAUUAAAUGCUAGAAAAGAAACAACACAAUAUAGAAACUUUUGUUCAUCUAACAUAAUAAAAUAAAAAGGGAAAUUAUUUGUUUUAUAGAUACAUUAUAUAUACGAAGCUUGUUUUCAAAAUGUUUAUAAAUAAUUUAAUUUAUAAAUAAAAUAAAAAUAAGUUGUGGAUAAGUAGCUAGAUAUUACUUAUAGGUCCCAAUAAUUUGUGGGAAAAAAUAAUUUAAUUGUUUAUUAACAGUUUAUAAACAUUAUCUAAACAUAGGAAAAGAAUGAAAGGAGAAUGUUGAUAAAGGAAUUACCUAGAAUGCGUAUGGACAAAAUUUUCCCUUAAGAAAUAAGGCAUGUGCACACAAACCACUUUGACAAAUCAAUUGGAUGGCAGUUAACGAAAAUGAUAAUUUUGUAGUAAAAGAUUCAAAUGAGGACGGCAGGGCUUUUGGAAACAAGGUCCAUACGCAUCUAAUAGGUUUACCUUUUAGAAUGAAACACCAGUCCCAUAUGAAUGCACAAGAAGGAUCUCAAGUUUGCAGUUGAAUGGAUGAAGCUGCCCUAAGUUGGAUCAUGAUGAGGAAAAAAAUUCAUAGUUGGUUCUUAAGAUUUAUGGUUGUAGAAGAAAAAAUUCACCUAACUUUUCCUGAGUGAAAUAAACAAGAUGAUUGAAGAGGUGAAACUGUGGCGUAGGCACAUUAUUCAAUUUAAAGAGAAACGGAAGAAAUCCUAUUUGAGGGCUUUGGACAAUUCGAAGUGAAGUUGGAGAUUCAUAAGAAUCAACAUGGUAUUAGUCAAUUAGAAUAUAAUUUGUAUUCAUAUGUCCACAUAAAGUAGGUUUUUUAGCUUUCUAUUUGUAAUGAAAGUACGUAUAAAUCUAUAUUACAUAAAAACUAAAAUUUCCUUUCGUCUCCCUAUAAAUAAAGUGUUUAUUUCACCAUUUAUUUAUCCCAAAUUUUUACGAUAUUUUUAGCAAAGCACCAUCACAAUCUCGAUGUAUUUUUCAGGCUCCACUAAUAUAAGACAAAGGGCAUUAUAAUUUUUCUACCAAAAUAUGAAUGGAACGUUAGUGAGUACAAGGGAAAAGGACAUAAACUGGACCUCUAAUCAAAAGUACAAAAGAAAAAAAAAUAUUAAAUAGGGAAUUACUACCUCCUAUACUAUAUAAAGAAAGAAUAAUAGAGCCUAAAUACCAUUUAAAGCGGAAGGCCAUAUUUGUGAAUUUGUACAAGGACAAUAAGUCGUCGAGGUAAGUUGAGAAUGCUAUACUCCUAGUGCUGCGUCAAUUGCAUCCAUCUGAAGUAAGUGAAUUAGCAAUAUGGUUUUCCUCUUGAUAUAUGUAUAAAAUAGGAUCACGAUCGAAGGAAAAAGUUGUAUGAUAUAUCUAAGAGUAUUGUGGAUAAACCAUGAUCCUCUACCACUGGUAAUGUAGGUCGUAGCUAUAAAGAAGCAUGUCUAUCCUCAAGUCCUAAAAUCCAAGUCAACAUGCAAGAUGGAUCCAAUCAAGAAGCUUACAGAUCAACAUAAAAUGAAGUGAAGGCACGAAUACCACCAUCUAUUAUAGAGUGACUAAAUAAUAUUCUUCCAUAUUAAAGUGUUAUAUUGUUACUUCUAUAAAAAUAAUAAUACAAUAUUCUUCUAUAAUACUUUUACGAAAUAAAUUUCAUUCAAGAAAACUCAUCUAUCAAUUAGUAUAGACAAAAUAAAAUUUACUUCUUUGUUAUACAAUUCAAAAUUAAGAGAAUACUUAUAUUUUUUUUGAAGAAAAAAAGUGUUUCUUUAUGAGCUCAAUUGUUAAAAUUUUGUGUCUUUCUUUCAACAUAAGAGAAAUUGCUUUUUCCUAACUCAACUUAAUUAGGGAUUCGAAAGCAAAAAGAUGAAUAAGUUUCACUAACUUAGUUGACUAGAACUUCAUGCUGAUAGUAUAAAUAAGUUAGCGGAAAAUAAUAAAGUAGAGAAGUAAUUAAGCAUACGAGCAUUUUAAUAAAAAAAUCAAAACUCUAUAUAUGGGGAAGAACUAGGAUGGUAAUGAAUAAAAUAGUCAUAUAACUAGGGUUGCAGGUAUAUAAUGAUAAUUUAUUAGUAUAUAAUUUUCAGCAAUUUGUUUAUUGUCUAUUUUAAUUAAUAAAUGGUAUUAUUUAUUUCCAAACCUACUUGUCUUAUUAUAGUCAGCAAAUGUUAUUUCAACAAACCUCUAGGAUGCAAAUGCACUUUUCCUAUAUUUGUUUGAGAUAAGGUAGUGAUAAGAAUUUAUUUGUUUAUUUAUUUAUUUAUUUUUUGGGAGGAUAAACCAACCACAUUCCGUGGCAUGUAUUAAUAAAAUGAAAGAAAAAUUAUUACAAUAGGGGAUACAUUAAGCUCCUGUUUGAUUUCGAUAAAUAACAUAAUUUUAGUAGAUUUUUAUAAAAAUUGAUGGCAUGCGAAGUGAGAAAGUUAUAGAUCCUAUGAAAUGUAUAGUUAUAAUUAAUUAUUGAGUUUGAUUUAGAUUUUAGUUGACUUUUGAGUUGGACCAAAGAGGAACUAAAUUAGUUGGAAGAUUUGGUACUCGUAUUAUUUUGAUGUUAGUGUUGAUCUCAAUUUGGUAAAAACUUAAAGAAGACAACAAAAAAUGUUUCACAAUAUACUCAUUCCAAGUUUAUUGAAAUAUACAACAUGAUACGGGUAAAUAAAGAUGGCUACAUUUCCACGAUGUAGUCUCCAAGCAAAAACUACAGUUUAUUUAAUUAAAGCGAGCUUAAUGUAGUCUCCAAGUAGAGAUCUACAGUUUAUUUAACUCAACCAGCUUCACAGAUAGAUAAGUAAUUUAUUCGGCUGCUGUUGCAGCAAAGCAUCAAGCGAUUACUAUCUCCUCGACGAAAGGCUCUUCAUUUGGGCAAAUUUUUCCGCAUGAACACUGGUCGUUAAAUGCUGAGCAGCAUCCUCCUGGAAAACCCUGAAGCUUGCAGAAUUGUUUACAAAGAUCCACGUCACAACGUCGAACUAGAACAUCCUCCACGAGAGGACGACUCGUGAUACGUGGACAAACUCCUGUGCAACGACACGGACCAGAUGGUCCUGGGCAGCAUGCUGGCUUACCAAAAAGUGAGCAAUAUUUUCUACAAAGAUCCCAGUUACAUUGUUUCGCAUCCACCACAAGAGGACCACUCAUAUCUGUUUAAAACAAGGAAAGAGUAUGAGAUACAGAAACACAGUUUAAUAUAUAAUAUAGUCCAAAGUAAACAAAUACGAAUGCUUUGCUAGCCUGCUAUGAAAAUUAAAGUUGUUCUGAUUAUUUCAAAUUUGGUAAAUUAACAUGUAUAUAGUAUGUAACAAGCUAUGGAGUUGAAUAAAUUACGAACCAGUGGACAGGGAAACCAACAGCAGGAGGGACACUAUUGCAAAUGACCUCACAGAGAACUCCAUAAUUAAGAAAGAGAGAGAGAUAAUAGGAAGCUUGAGUGAAAGACUCCCUGCUUGCGUCUCUUUAUAUAAUGUUUUAAGCGUGCUACCAAAAUUGAUAUAAAAUGUUGGAAAAAUGCUUGUUGUACAUUAUCAUAUUUACAUAAUUUUUUACAGAUUGAUGUAUAAUUUUUAAUUUUUUUUAGUUGAAAGAUUUUGACCCAAACAAAUCUCGUCACAUUAUCUGUCUGUAAACAAAUAUGUAAAUUGUGAUAUAUAUGUAGUACAAACUUUUACGUAAAACACAACUUUUUUAAUGGAGGGUUUGCACAAGAUGUUGACACGUGGACUUGUUGAGGCUUUUAGAUUUACUUUUGGAUAACUUUGCAUGUAACUUUUGAGAGAAACUGCUACAGUUUCUUGGUUCUCCUUCUUUCUUGAAAACUUCACUCGAGAUUCCUAAUAUCCUGCUCCUCCUUUCUGACUUUCGGUUUCUUACUUGGUGAAGAUGAUUAAGAACUAACUGUUCUUUGAUUUGUUUUGUUCUAAAUGGGUAGAUUAGGAUUUGUGGUGUUAUCAGGAAUCGUAAACUUAGGGUAUGUUUGGAUCUAAAAAAAAUUAAGUCACCAUAACUUUAUCUUUUGUAAUUUGACCAUUUUGUAUUUGGAUAUCAUUUUGAGACUGUUCUACUAUAGAGCAUUAUUUUAAUAUUGUGUUUCGUAUUAUACCACAUUAGAAAAAUAAUAUACGAGUACUAAAAGCUGAAAAAAAAAUAUUUUAUGUAUAAAUAAUCUAUAAUCGUAAUUUUAUUGACUAUAUUUUUAUGUAUAGUUAAUUUUUGACUUCUAUGUCAUUCUUUUCUUAUAAGUAAUUUGUAUUUUUGUACUUACAACUAAAUUUUUUUACUUUUAGCCAAAGACUUUACCUGUAAGUGUAUUAUUUUUCUCAUCGUAGAUUUUACUAUUGUUAGUGUAAUUAUGCAUAAUUUUUAGUAAAGUUUUAUUUUCUAUAAAUUAUUUAACAUAGAAGUGAGUGUUUUAUAAAAACCUUAAUUUUUUACUUGUGAGUGAAUAAUUUUUCAAUUUUUGAGUUAAUUUUUACUUGUAUAAAUGGUCUUUUCAUGUCAUUGUAUAAUUGAGACAGACGUAAAGACUAUAAGCACGUUAUACAAAUUUUGGAUUAGAUAUUAAUGGUAAAAAUGGUCCUCAUUUCUUUUGUCCAAAUCUAAGCACAAAAAUCACGUGAACUAAAUCUAGUAAGUGAAGUUUCAGUUUUGUGGUCCUUCAUAAUUAAAGACGAGUAGAUACAAAUUGACGAGAAGACGACACAACUCAAGAUCAUUAAAAGGAUUCUAGAUUGGAUGGAUGUAUUCAUCUUUUUUCUUCUCUAUCAUCAAAACUUUAUAUUCUUGUUAUUGAUUGUGUCCAGCUUAACUCAAUUAUCUACACCAUGUCAAUUCAAAGUUGCUCAUUUUUUGUUAAAUUCUUGUUAUUUGUGUUGCUUGUUUUUUAUUUUAUUAUUUUAUUUUGAUGAUUGUUCAACAUUAAAAUGUGUUUGUGAUUUAUAUUAUUUUCUAGGGGUUCGAUAUAAAUUAGCUUAUGGUAAUAAACAACAUAGGGUAUGCUAGUUGAUAGAAAAAUAUUUGUUUCAUUUCAUCUUAACAUUGCCAGAGUCAUAAUCAUACAGAAGUUGUAUAAUGGAAGUUUGGACAAUCUUUUGAGAAGUUAUGUAGAAAAUGAUACGAAAAUGAGACAUUAUUUUCCAUGAAUUUAAAUUCAUUUAUAAUUAAUUUACUAGCCAAACUACUAAAGAAAGCACACUUAUAGUUGUUUAUGGCCAAUAUCUCUUAAGUGCUUUGGACUUGACUCUACAUCCUGUUACUCAUCAUUCUAGUGGAGACACUAAACAAAGAGAAGUUUAUUAAGAAAAUGCAUGAUCAAGUUCAACAUACGACAUGAAAGAAAAAUGAGAAGUACAUGAAGAUUGCGAACAAGCACCACAAAUUCAUUAUACAACAAGCUUAAUUCCUCAUUUUGUGUAGUGAUAUUUCUUGGGUGUUGAUAACAAGAAGUAUUAAAUAGAGAUAUAAUAGAAAAUUAAGUGAUUAAUUAUACUAUUAACAAGGAAAGAGGCCUAUAAUUUGAGACUAUUACGAAGAAAAUUGGAACCGGAUUAAUAAAAUACUAAUGUGUUGGAGAAAAUACGAGAUUAUAAGUAUAAUUUGAAAUAAAGAAUGCAAGAAAAAUGUAAUUUGCAGAGAAUAGAGAUUUUAAUACAAUAUGGAGAAAGAAUACAAUUUUUUUUAUAUUUACAAUGUUUCUAACUUCUUCUAAAUUAUAAUGAAGAGCCAACUAUAUAUAGGGGAUAUCCAAAACUUAAUAGGAGAGUGAUGGUUGAAGUAGAAUGCAAGAAAUGACAUUAAAAAUUGAAUAGGAGACAAAACAAAGCACACUCCCUAUUUCUAUAUAUUGAGGCGCGGACCCGGUAUUUCAAUAUAAAGUUGUCAGCCCCUACGCCCCUCGUCUCCAUUCCAAACAACUUUCAAGGAUGUUUUUCUUCAUUCCAAAGUCCUUUUCAAGUCUACUUGAAAUUUGGAUUUUUAAAUAGAACCUUAUCUAAAAUUUAUCAAAUAGGCAUUGAACAGGUUUUCCAAAAAAAAUUCCAAAUAGAAUUUCUCUUAACGUACAAAUUUGCCAUCUAUGGCUUUUAAAACUUUUUGUUGAACCAAAAUUCCCCUUAUCUUUUGUUGCCGAAAUGAAAAAUCUUCUUUCCCAUUGAAAAUCCAACUUUGAAAUGUGAAGACGUUUUGAGAAAAUCGAACAACCAAAUGCACAGAUAAGUCACACAAAGUAAUCCUAAAAUCGCAGUAUACACCGUUCUAAAUUCCUAGGGUUUUGUAAGAUUCGCUAUUUUAGAUCAAGAAAAUGUUCAAACGGAUCAAGUCCACGUGUUCUAAUAGGAUAAUCAAUGCAACACGAAUGUAUAUUAACAAAAAAUUAAAAUUCUCACAUAUAUAGUCUCACACAGUGACUAUAUAACAAUUAGAGCAGAAACUUAAUUACCAAUUUGCGAUCAAAUUCAACACUUCAAACAUGGCAAAUAAACCCUAAAUUUCAAGCAUAAGCAAUGUUACCCCUUACGAUAACCAAAUCCUAAUGUCACCCCCACACAAUAACACGCUAAUGCUAAAAUUUAAAUUGGAAUAAACUAAUAUACCAAAGCGUACCAAUCUGAGCUCAUAAAUUACGAGGGAUACAAAUUUAUCACUUUAGAACUACUACUAUUCGUCCUAAAGUCUCCAUUAAUUGCAGGUAUCAAUCAGCCACAAUCGACUCCCGAACGUGCGAAGAAUAAAUCUAUCUAGAUUCCACUGUAUAACCUAAAAUAGAAAACUAAUGACACCAAAAUAUCAGAAAUGAUGUUAGGAAGAAACUGCCUUAAGAGAUCUCCCGCCUGCAAACAAAUCGCGCGCCCUCAAGUGCAGUCAAGUUAUUCUGCUCGUUGGUCUCACUUCUUCAUCGAUCACACGCAUGACAGUUGGUGCCGGACCGCUGUACGUCACACUAGUGAUCUCCGUUUCACCACCACUGGAUUGGGCGAAAAUUGCACAAAUAGAUCUGAUUUUUACAUAGUUUUUUGACAAUUUUUUUAUCCUUUUUUGGCCCGUUUCUACCUAUUUCCUGGAUUUUUUUGGUAUGUUUCACAAAUCAAAUCCACCAUCUUGAAGCUGUGAUACCAAUUUUCCCUAAAGCUUGCUCUAAGAAUCAUCAAAAUGGUGUUUUUUUAAGCUUAGUUUAGUGUCACCUUUCUCUACUAAACAACCAAUCCAAUUGACUCCAAUUCACAACUUCGGUUGCUUCUUAAACUCACUCACUAAGGACAAGAUAAUGAUAAUGAUUUGCUACCUCAAUGGCAAGAAGAAAACACCACAAAGGAGGCAAGGAAGAGAUCAAAAUCAAGGAGCUAACCAUUGGGUUUUUUUUUACACAAAGGCAACUGACUUUUUCUCUCAAUGGGCAGCCACGUUUUCUUCACUUUUCUCGGACAAAUCAUACUACAAAAUGGCUAGGGUUAGGACCAUAUAAAAAGGGUUAGGUUAGGCUUUUAGUUAGACUAAUAAUAAAGCUAAAUGGGCCAAGAUUCAAAGUCAUCCAAGAGGGAAUAUAAAUGGGCCGGGUAGAGCGCUGGAUUUGGUUGUUGGUACUUAUUUCACUCAUCAUUCAAGGCCUAUGAAAUAUAUAUUUCCAUGUUAACAUCAUAGCCCGAAAUUACACAACCCUUAGUGCAGAUCUCAAUUUGAUAAAAACUUAAAGAAGACAACAAAAAUUAUUUUACAAUAUACUCAUUCCAAGUUUAUUAAAAUGCUAAGCAUAAUACUUGUAAUUAAAGAUGGAUACACAUGGACAAUGUAGUUUCCAAGCAGAGACUACACUUUAAUGCAGUCUCUAAGCAAAUAUCUAUGUUUUAUUUAAUUAAAGACAAUGUAAUAUCACGAAACAGAGUUCAUUAAUUCAACAAACUUCUUAGAUAGAUAAGUAAUUUAUUCUCCAACUUUUGCAGCAAUGCAUCAAGCGAUUACUAUCUCCUUGAUGGAAGGCUCCUCCACUGUUGCUCUACUCAUCACCUCCUCAGUAAUUACUUUUUUAUACAGUGCAAUUCAUGAGGGGAAUUUUAGUGCAAAACACAAGGAAGCUUUUUGUCUUGCGAGAUUCAAUCUGCAAGGCAACAUAUCAUUAAGUUUAUGUUCACAUAAACUUAAUAUAAAGGCAAGAUCACACGAUAUUAAAUUCAAGAAACAAGAAAACCUUAAUCAAACAGAAAUAAAACAUUAGAAAAAUGCCACUCUGCCUGAAAAUGUUUUGACACUAGGUGUGAUUGUCUAUCCUCACAAAGUGUGAGGGUUCCACAUGAAUUAAAUAAUGUCCAACCCUCGAGGUGGGUGUGUUCAGUCAUUUCUUAUGUCAAUCAUUAUGUUCCUCUAGCUUGAUCAAAAAAAUUAGGGUCGCGCCAAAUUCACGAAAGUUGUUUGAGGAGAAUUCACAACAUAGGCAAGUAGUGAGAUAUUAAUGACCACAAAAGGAAAUAAAGUCAUGUAUGUGUGCAUUAACAAGACAAUUGAUGUUUAUUUAUUUUAUUUUUAACUGAAUGUACUUUUGAGUCAUUCUUUACUUUUCAGUGAAUUUUUUAUUUUUUAUUUUUAACUGAACGUUUUAUUUACAAGGGGAAUUUUUUUACUUAUAAUAUAUUUUUUACUAUUCAUAUCAUUGCAUAAUUGAGACCCAAAAAAAAAAAAUCAAUCUUAUUUUUAUGCAAAUGAGUGUCUUUCAAAUUAAGCCUCUAUUUUGUAGAUAUUGAAAUUAGGAUUUUAAUCUAAAUCAAUGUCAACAAUUGAUUUUAACCACAUAUUUUAUGGACCUCAAAAAUUUUCAAUCCUGUAUCAACUUUUAUUAAAAUCUAAUUUACUAUCAAACAGGGAUCAAAUUUGUGCAUUUUGUAUUAAAUUCCAUUUUGCUCUAAUGAAAGUAAAUUACGUGAACCAUAGAGGGUAAAAUCGACAAAAUGGAUGAGCUAUCUAUCUAUCCUACUCAACCUACUGAAACGUAAAUUUUGUCGGCCUCAUAUAGAUAUAUAUAUACACACACAAAACGUCCCUACCUUUUGUUUUUUUGGCGCAUUUCAUUCCUACCUUUACCUUUUCUUGUGGAAAACAUCAUUUUCAUCAUUUUUCUCAAUAAAAAGUUAUAAAAGGACUAAUAUUCCCUUCUAUUUAAAUUUAAAAAAAUAAAGAACUAAUUGCAAUCAUAGUUCCAAUUUUUAAAAAAGUUCAAAGGAGAAAGUGGAGGUGGAGAAUUUUUUUUAUCUUUUUAUUUGAAACUACAAUUGCAUUUAGGUCUUUAUUUUUUUUAUUUAAAUAGAACGGUAUAUUAGUCAUUUUAUAGCUUUUUAUUGAGAAAAAUGAUGAAAAUGAUAUUUUGCACAAGAAAAUGUAAAGGUAGAGAUGAAAUACGCCAAAAAACGAAAGGUAGGGACGUUUUCCACAAAAAUCAUGAAAGGAAGGGACGUUUUAUGCUAAUUACCUUACAUAUAUAUAUAUAUAUAGACUAAUUUGUACCACAAUUGGUCUCCCAAGUCUUCUGUCUAAAUAAAUAUAUACACUACAAUCACAAGUGAACAGAAAUUAGAAUAAGUGAAGUAAGUUCUAGUUUCGAUUUUACCAUUUGUACAAGAAAAAUGCACAUAAGGUUUUACAAGUGUUGAGUACCAUAAUUGCUUUGAAAGUCUUUUCAUAUCAUAUAAUUGAGGUAAAUGUAAAAUUUUUCAAACCUUCAUGAAUUAUUGAAUAAAUGUUUGAAAAGAAACGAAACAAUAUAGAAAUUUUUUGUUCAUCUAAAAUAAUAAAAUAAAAAAGGAAAUUAUUUAUAUUAUAGAUAUAUUAUAUAUAAGAAGCAUGUUUCCGAAAUAUUUAUAAAUAAAAUAGAAAUAAAUGGUGGAUAAGUAGGUAUUACUUAUGGUUUCCAAUAAUUUGUGGUUAAAAAUAAUUUGUUCGUUUAUAAAUAGUUUAUAAACAUUAUCUAAACAUAAGGAAAGAAUGAAAGGAGAAUGCUGAUGCGGGAAUUGCCUAGAAUGCGUAUGGAUAAAAUUUUCCCUUAAGAAAUAAGGCCUGUGCACACAAACCAUUUUGACAAAUAAAUUAGAUGGUAGUUGAUGAAAAUGAUAAUUUUUGUAGUAAAAGAUUCAAAAUGGGGACGACAGGGCUGUUGCUAGGAGUUCAACAAAUUCGCACACGGUAUUUUCUUGAAAUUGAUGAAGGGUGUGUGGUGGAAAAUUUGUGUCGAAGCCUUGGUGAACUCCUAGAAAAGGCAACUAAGAAGUUUCGCCAUAAUUUCUAGCUAGGUUAUCGGCAUGGAAGGAUUUGAAAUUUUUAGAACUUAGUGAUUCCACAAGCAUAUAUACAUUAUGGUGGCGUAUGUUGGUUCUCAGUCUUAAGAAUUAUGGUCGUAGAAGAAAAAAUUCAAGACACUUUUCGUGAGUGAAAUAAACAAGAUGAUUGAAGAGACGAAACAGUGGUGUAGGCACAUUAUUCGAUUCAAAGAGAAAUGGAAGAAAUCCUAUUUGGAGGCUUUUGACAAUUCAAAGUGAAGUUGGAGAUUUGUAAGAAUCGACAUGGUAUUAGUCGGUUGGGAUAUAAUUUGUAUUUAUAUGUCAACAUAAAGUAGGUUUUUAGCUUUCUAUUUGUAAUGAAAGUUUUUAUAAAUCUAUAUUAAAUAAAAACUAAAUUUUACUUUUGUCUCCCUAUAAAUAAGUGUUUCUUUCAGCAUUUAUUUACCCCAAUUUUGUAUGAUAUUUUUAGCAAAGCACCACUACAAUCUCAAUAUAUUUUUCACGCUCCGCUAAGUUAAGAUGAAGGGCAUUAUAAUUUUUCUACCAAAAUAUGAAUGGAACAUUAGUAGGUACAAGGGAAAAAGGACAUAAACUUGACCUCUAAUCAAAAGUACAAAAGACAAAAAUAUUAAAUAGGGAAUUACUACCUCCUAUACUAUAUAAAGCAAGAAAAAUAGAGCCUAACAGACCAUACUUGUCAAUGUGUACAGUGACAUUAAGUCAUCGGGCUAAGUCGAGAAGGCUAUACUCCUAGUGCAGCGUCGAUUGCAUCCUUGUGAAGUAAGUGAAUUAGCAAUCUGGUUUUCCUCUUGAUAGAAGUAUAAAAUAGGAUCACAAUCAAGGGAAAAAGAUGUAUGAUAUAUCUAAGAGUGCUGUGGAUAAACCAUGAUCCUCUACUACUAGUGAUGUAGUUAAUAGCUAUAAAGAAAGCCUGUCUAUCCACAAGUCCUAAAAUCCAAGUCGACAGGUAAGAAGGAUCCAAUCAAGAAGCUUGCAGAUCAACAUAAAAUGAAGUGAUGGCACGAAUCCACCAUCUAUUCAAGAGUGACUACCUAAUAUUCUUCCAUAUUAAUGUUAUAUAUUGUUACUUCUAUAAGAAUAACAAUACAAUAUUCUUCUAUAAUAUUUUACGAAAUAAUAAAUUUCAUUCAAGAAAACACGUCUAUCAAUUAGUAUGGACAAAAUAAAAUUUACUGCUUUGUUAUUCAAUUCAAAAUUAAGAGAAUACAUGCCUUAAAACCUUUCGCUCGAGCCUCUUGUCUUGAAUGCAGUCCAUUGCCCAUAAUCUAAUAAGGUAAGGAAGAAUAACAAACUUCAAAACUUCUUCCAUCAUUUCAUUACAAAACCAAAAAACCUGAAAAAGAUGGAUUAUUCUCUAAUCAUGUUGGAGACGGAUUCCUGAACCCUGUUCACGUCAUGUCACGUCGAGGUACAGUAAAAGAAAAAAACAUUAUUCUUUAUGAUCUCAAUUGUUAAAAUUUUGUAUCUUUCUUUCAACAUAAGCGAAAUUGCUUUCUCCUACCUCAACUUGAUUAGAGAGUCGUAAGCAAAAAGAUGAAUAAGUUUCACUAACUCAGUAGACUAGAACUCCAAACCUAAUUGUCUUAUUAUGGGCAGCAAAUGUUAUUUCAACAAACCUUGGGGAUGCAAAUGCACUUUCCCUAUGUUUAAUUGAGAGAAGAUAGUGAUAAGAUUUUAUUUUAUUUAUUUAUUAUUAUUAUUUUUUUUUUUUGGGAGGAUAAACCAACUACAUUAAGUGACAUGUAUUAUCAAAAUGAAAGAAAAUUUAUUACAAUAGGGGAACACAUUAAGCUAAUGUUUGAUUUCAAUAGAUAUCUUAUUUUUGUAGAUUUUGAUAAAAAUUGAAGACAUGCAAGGUGGGAAAGUUAUGGAUCCCAUGAAAUGUAUGGUUAUAAUUAAUUAUUGAGUUUGAUUUAGAUUUUAAUGCACUUUUUGAGUUGGAUGAAAGAGGGAAUAAUUAGAUGGAAGAUUUGAUACUUGAUGCUAGUGCUGAUCUCAAUUUGAUAAAAACUUAAAGAAGACAACAAAAAUUAUUUGACAAUAUACUCAUUCCAAGUUUAUUAAAAUACACAACAUGAUAUAUAAGCACUUGCAGGCGAAUAAAUAAAGAUGGCUACAUUUCCACAAUGUAGUCUUCAAGCAAAGACUACAGUUUAUUUAACUACAGCCAGUUUAAUGUAGUCUCUAAGCAGAGAUCUACAGUUUAUUUAACUCAACCAGCUUUACAGAUAGAUAAGCACUUUAUUCGCCUGCUGUUGCAGCAAAGCAUCAAGCGGUUACUAUCUCCUUAAUGAAAGGCUCUUCGUUUGGGCAAAUUUCUCCACAUGCACACUGGUCAUUAAAUGCUGAGCAGCAUCCUCCUGGAAAACCCUGAAGCUGGCAGAAUUGUUUACAAAGAUCCACGUCACAACGUCGAACUUGAACAUCCUCCACGAGAGGACGACUCGUAAUACGUGGACAACCUCCUGUGCAACGGCACGGACCAAAUGGUCCUGGGCAGCAUGCUGGCUUACCAAAAAGUGAGCAAAAUUUUUGACAAAGAUCCCAGUUACAUCCUCUAGCAUCCACCACAAGAGGACCACUCAUAUCU
rnacentral:lncRNA from 1 species